CACACGAACAUAUGAAAAAGAUGGAAUUGUCAUAACUUUUGAGAGGAAGUAAAUGUAUCGUUUAUCAUGUAAAAAAUAGAGAGAAAGAAUAGAGAUAUUACGUCUCAGAAUUCCACCAGUGAACUUAUCAAACAAUGUUGCAUUGAAUAAUGAUUCUAGGGCUAUCUCAGCAACUUCUUCUUCGUUGGACUUACCAAACUCAUAUUUAGAAUAUCACACAUCGACUCAUGUUAGCAUAACAAAUUAAAACUAAUCACAUGAUAAGAGACUGAAGAAUGAAACUCAUUUAGAACUAGCUAGCUAGCACUUACCGAAGUCUCACAAUACUUUCGGCAUAUCGAGAACCAGAUCCCAUUGCUGCAAACCUGUUGUAGAUUUGUUCAUUCGUAACGCGUCCGUCUUUUAUGAAAAUACGAUACAGUUGAAGAUCCUGCAACCAACAAUUCAAGUAAAUUUAGCAUAUCAUAAAUAACUGAGAACAUUAUAAGCGAUAAUUUCAAUUUUUCUUACAUAUUUUUCAUCCCAUCCAGCCAAGAGUACCCCAAAUGCUUUGUCCUUCUUAAUCUUUUCAGGUAGACCACGUAAAUGAGCACACAUCUGUACUAAUGCAUAGUGAACAGAGUCACCAUUCUUCUUGGACUGCAUUACAUCAAACAAGUAAUUAAUUGUCGUUAGAGUACCAGUUAUUUUUCAUUUUCCAAAUUUAAGUAAAACUAUAUAUAUAUAUAUAUAUAUAUAUAUAUAGUAGGAGAUAUAUAUAUANNNNNNNNNNNNNNNNNNNNUAUUGCUGCAGAGAUUGGAGAAGGUGUGGCCGAAUCUGUGAAGGUUUGGAGUGAAGUGACUGCCAAUCUCCUCGGCCGUGGAUUGCUGCAGAGAUGCCAGAUCUGUGAAGGUUUUGAGUGAAGCGACGUUUAACUUUUACUAGGGGUAGUAAAUUUUAUUUUUUGCAUUUAAGUUGAUUUUUCUCCGUUUUAAUGUGUACUUAUGGCCUUGGAGAUAUUGUUUUGCAAGCUUACUACCCCCAGUAUAAGUUUACUGGGGGUAAUAAACUUUAUUUUUUUGCAAGUUUACUACCCCCAGUAAAAGUUUACUAGGGGUAGUAAAUUUUAUUUUUUGCAUCUAAAUUGAUUUUUCUCCGUUUAAAUAUGUACUUAUGGCCUUGGAGAUAUUGUUUUACAAGCUUACUACCUCCAAUAAACUUUAUUUUUUCGCAUCUAGGUUGUUCUUCCUUUGUUUUAGUGUGUAUUAUGGCAUUGAAAAUAUUUUUUUGCAAGUUUACUACCCCUAAUAAAAGUUUACUGGGGGUAGUAAACUUUAGUUUUUCGAAUCUAAAUUGUUCUUCCUCUGUUUUAGUAUGUAUUAUGGUCUUGAAAAUACUGUUUUGCAAGUUUACUACCCCCAGUAAAAGUUUACUAGGGGUAGUAAAUUUUUUUUUUUCACAUCUAAAUUGAUUUUUCUCCGUUUUAAUGUGUACUUAUAACCUUUGAGAUAUUAUUUUUCAAGAUUACUAUCCCCAGUAAGAUGUUUACUAGGGGUGGUAAACUUUAUUUUUUUGUAUAUAUGUUGAUUUUUUCUCUCCUUUAAGGUAUAUAAUGGUCAUAGGAAAACUAUAUUGCAAGUUUACUACCCCCAACAGAAGUUACUAAGGGUAGUAAACUUUAUUUUUCUGCAUCUAAGUUGAUUUUUUACUGUUUUAAGGUGUAUAAUGGUCAUGGAGAAACUUUAUUUUGAGUUUACUACCCCCAGUAUUUUUCGUACUUGGGUUAAGAUCACUUAAAUUCCUAUGGCAUUUAAAAAAAAUCCAGUGAGAUUUCCGGAAAAUUCCGGCCACUGGAUGCCGGCAAUUUUCCGGCAGUCGGAAAAUUCCGGUCACUGGUGACCGGAUUCUGGCUGCCGGAGUUCGGAGUCCGGCGACCGGAAUGUGGCCGCCAGUGACUGGCGCCGGAGCCCAGUGUGCUUCCGAUAAAGUCUUUCUUCCAUCUUUUUCACUUUUUCUCUUUAAGUAAAAGCUAAAGGUAAAAAAGUCUUUAAAAAUAUAAUUUUAUUAUAUUUUAAUAAAGAUUUGUGUAUUUGGGCUUAAAAUAAGUACCUUGUAUUUAAAUAGGCUAAUAAAAAAAUUAUCAUUGAAAUGGGGUUUGACUUUUUCUAUUUUGUGCAAAUUGUCUUUUCCCUUUUUUUUUUACCAUCAAAUUCGACAUUGUGCUGCAUUAAUUCUCCAAUUUCAUUCUCUGUAUUCUCAUUGGAUAGUGAAAGUAAAAGAGAAAACGAGCAGUAUGUACAACCCUAUAUAUGCGUUGUAGAGAAGGAAAUUAAAAAUAAAUCCAACAAAUAUGGAAAGAAAAUCUUUUACGGUCUUUACUUCAACAAUUAUGUUAGCAAGUUCGUUUUUUUUUUUUUUUUUUGUUUUUUUUUUUUGUGAGAACUUAUACGGUUUUUACCUUACAACACAUGGAUUUUUUUUUAAAACAAAUAAGGAAGGUCGUUUUACCUCACAACAUAAGGCAUACCCAACCGAACUUGCUAACACACGUAUAUAUAUAUAUAACAACCAUGCAUGCUUUAGUAUUUGCCGCACUCCCAAGCGCAAAUGCCAUGACGAUCUGGAAAACUAUAUGCAGCUACCUCGUGCAACCUUGCGCACUUCCAGCUAGGCUUUCGAUUGUUGUUUCAGGAUUCUUGAAAAUUAUCUGCAAUUUCUUUCGGCUGGUUCAUCUGCCUAGAGGAAAAACAGGUUUUAUUUUAUUUUGUUUUAUUACGUUCUCAUAAACCUUGACGCCAAACCACAAGUCCAAAAUCUAAAGCUCCAAAUUUUUCUUUCAAUGAUCAGAUGCAGCCUCCAUGAGUCCAGAUGAACAACUGGUGAAGCUCUGUGAUCCUCCAACAGAAGAAACGGUUGAAAUCCCCAUCGAACCCACUAACUCUGCCGGCGGUACGUAUGAUUUUUUUAUUUUUUUAUUAUUAUUAUUUUUUUAAGAUUUUUAUUUGGAAGACCUAGGAUCAGUUUGCCUGAGUUUUAAUGUUUUUGAUAGCUUUGUACUGCCAUACAUGUAAACUUAACCCUUUUCUUUUCUUUUGGUAUUUAACAACAGAAUUGCAAAUAGGUUGCGAGGCAGAAGAACCAAAGGCUUUCAGUUUCACGUAUCAUUGUAUGAUCUGCGAUGAUAAUUGUGAUCACACCACUGAAACGUGCCCUGACAGAAGUGGAAAAUUUAUAACAGUUGUACCGUUUGUGAUCACCUCCCAUGUAAAACGAGGCUGACCACAAGGNNNNNNNNNNNNNNNNNNNNUUUUUUUUUUUUUUUUUUUUGAAAAUGAUAACUUGUAUUACUUAAUUAAUGGCCAAAAGACACGUACAUCCAAAUGCCGUCCUCCACAGAGAGUAUGUUGAGGGAGGCUUACAAGCACCAAGACCUUUACUAAUUACACAUAGGCCCAAAAAGAGGCCGGAGCAAGAAAAAUUAAAACUUACUACCUAAGUCCCUGAAACAGAAUAUUAGAUGCCUAAGACCUCAACUGGUGUACACCUAAUAAGCUUAAGAAAUAAAUAGUAAAUCUACUUCUGAUGCUCGGGCUGAGGGCAGCCCGAAUUCUAAGUCUUGCCAUGCCCUUAACAUUAGGGCAAAACUCCUCACCAGCAUCUGCAAUCAGAAAAAGCAACCCAACUCCAGUAGUAGUUUCAAAUGAAUCCACCUUAUCGGGCCCAAACUCAAAUCCAUCUGACCCAAUACGAGGGAAUCCAAUUAUCAGGUCCAGCCACAUCUCUUCCACAAUCAAUCCUAGGUUAGGGUUUCCCGUCGUCAACGCUAGACCAACCUCUCCGACGGCUUCCACGGCCACCAUGAAAACUGUAGAGCACAACCUUGCUUGAAGGAUCACCAACCCAAUCUCUGACGAAGCCAUAAAGUUCUGCACCGAACUCACAGCCACUGCCAUGUAAACUCCAUCCGGGUCUUCAGCCUCCAUCGCCGCCAUAGUAUCAGGCCAACAAGUAGGUUCUUGAACUUUUGCAGACGAAACUCCGACGAAGGUCGCCAAAGGGAGUCCACUUGCAACACUCUCAAUCCCCAGAGAAUACCAUCGCAUGAACCUUGGCGUAGCCACCAUCUUGCAACUGCUGGAACGGCAAAGCACAAGGCCAGCCACCGGGUCUAGGUUUCGUAAGGCCAGGGUACUCCGAAAGAGACGGAGCAUAGGUCGUUUUUUUUUUUUUGUUUAUUGGUUAAAUCUUAUGUUGAUCAUACGUAGAAGUAAACAAAAUGAUAUCCAUAUUGGUGGGUGACAAAGGAAUCAUUACAUAAAUACAAGCAUCUUUCUAGCUAUAAAACCCAUCUAGAAUAGCCCGGGCACAUAUAAAGAAGGGCCAACUGUCGACACUGUGAUACAAAAACGGGAAAGAGGUCGUCAACAGCAUAUAUAAACAAAUUAAAAAUUUGUCAGAAAAAAUUAAUUCAAAAGGAAAAACCAAGCCUAGACCAAGAUGUAAGCCCAGCCCAAGCAGCAGCCUAAAGCACCAAAACCUCAGGACCACCCACAUGCCUGCCCAGGCCAAGGCCCAUUGGCCCCAGUUUACUCAGGGCACCCACCAGGUGGCCACCCCGAGCUGCAAAUCCACCUCCGCUUACAGUCCCAGACGUCGCCGCUCCAGAUUGCACCGCCACUGAAGGCGGCGCCCAGCCGCCUGCCUUAACCACGGUUCAUUAAUAGUUCAAUACAUAGUACUUAAUUUUAGCAAAAAGACAUUACAUUAUUGCAUAGCAUAUAUGACACUUCUCAACAUUAGAGUAGGACUACAACAUUUACUUGGAUAUCAUUUAUUGAGAACUAAUAAUAACGUCUAAUUCUUGGAUACAAGAUAAACUCUGGCCUUGAUAAUCGACCCACUGCCAAGCUUGAACCCUGGACUUAAGGGAACCCCAACAACUUGACCCGAAGGACCUUCCCCUGGUGAAGUGGAAUGAAGUGAAUGACUUUGAUGCCUCUUUCACUUGAUAUGAGAGCUGAAAAUCCAAAUCCAGACCCAAUAUGAGAUACUUGUUUCUCAUUAUUGGAUCGUUGGAUCAACAGUGAUUAAAUCCAAAAUGACAUUGUAGAAUGAGUAUCAUGAGCAUGACUACAAAGAUUCAGAUAAUCAGAAUUUAUGUUUGUGUAAUAGCAACUACAGAAAAAAGAGAAACACGUCUUUCAUUUUAUAUUACACUGCUGAACAUUUAUUGGAGUAGGAGUGUAGGACUAAAUUCUAGCAACAUUAGGGCUACACUGUGUUUCCUUGUAUGUUAAAAAGCUCUAAUCCCUGGAAACUAGGUAAACCCUGGCCUUGAUAAUAGACCCAUUUCCGAGCUUGAACCCAGGAGUUACAGGAAAUCCGACAACCUGAUUAGAAGGAACCCGUACACCUGGAAACUUGACAACACUCUCCAUGUAGUGUGGAUGAAACUCUGCACCUCUAGUAGCCUCAAAUUGACUAGGUGUUGGGUCAAGAGAGAAGGCCAGCAAGUGCAGUAACCAGACUGCUUUAGCCAUCCCUAAGAACUGGCUGUAAAACUCACUCCUGGGGUGGUUUCCAUCUAAGACCUGGCGUCGCUGAUCCAAGUCUCCGAACAAGGACUCUUCCAUCUUGGGAUGAACUAUGGCCAAGUACUUGUUUGAGCAGAACUUGCCGAAGUGACAUGUGGGCAAGAUUCCAAGAAGCUCUGCCGGAUCCAUGGCCUUCAUAUCACGGUAUUGAGUGAAGCAAUCUCGACGGUACUGAUCCGGAUUGAGAAGCGAGGAGAGGCUACCGUCCAUGUAGAAUGUCUCGUGAUCAAAGCCUUGGAACAUUUUGCUGGAAAUGUAGGACUGGAGAGCAUACUUGGCAUUGCCAUUCUGCGUUGUUGUGACAAGGGAGGAUGUGUUAAUAGAUGUUGCAGUAAUGGCAGUGACAGUGGCAGCUUCAAUGGAACGCACAGCUGCGGCAAUGUCCCAAUGUGCAGCACGCAUGAGAGAAAGGAGCAAUGAAGUGAAGGACUUUGAUGCCUCUUUCACUUGGCUCAUUGUUGCCACAAACAGAUCUGGUGCUGGAGCAGCUACAACUGUAAUCACAAGUCCAUCACAAAGCUGCAAUUAUAAUUUCCCAAUACAACCAUAAAGUUAUGACAGGGUUUUACUAUUUAGUACCUUGAAGCUGACUGCAACCUACCUUCCUCCUCGAGAUAGAUCUGCCCUUCUUGCCAUUAUUCCCAUUGGAGCCAUUAACAACACUACUCAGCUUUUCCUUUAGGUUAUCAACCUCCACUUCCUUAGCCUUCACCUCCUUCUUCAGCUCCUCAACCGCUGCCUCAUAUGGAGCCACCACCUCCCUCAGCGUACCCCCCACCACUGCUCCUCCACCUCUACGACCUCCACCGCUAGAACAUCUCCUCCUAAACCUCUCCCUCAACACUCCAAGCUUCCUAAGCUCCCCCACCACUGCCACAUCAGCUGCCCUCAUCUUCUCUGGGUCCCACGGGCUAUGCGCCAUCUGCAGGCCGGCGUAGGCCUUCUUCAUUGCCGAAACUGCAUCAAACACUUCCCACAUUGCCAUCUCCAUCUCCAUUACCUCCUUCCUUGAUCCCUCCUCCCGGACCCUAAUCCCUCCUCCACCACCAUUCUCCUCCUCUUCUCUCACUUCCUCUUCCGGCUCAUCCAACUCAAGCUCACUGAAAUCAUCCUCGUCUCCAGCACCAUUCGCUGCAAAUUCACCAUUCCGGCCGGCGCCAAGUGGGUGCAGCAAGCAAGAAGCCGCCACCCUCUGAACCAAAUCCGAGAAAUUUGAAACCUUUGCCGCCAUUUCCCUCUUUCUUCCUCACCUUGACCUCUACUUUUCUGAAUCAACAGUAUCCACAAACAGAUAGAUGAAUCAGAUUCACAUUUUCUCAAAGACCACAAUGGGCAUGAUAAGGGAAUGCCAGGACAGCUUAAGAUAGCCAAAACCAAGUAACCCCAUUUCAACAAGUAAUCAGCGAGCAGCAACUAACUAAAUAAUUAACUAAAAACAAUAAAUGAAGCUCAAUGAUUGACAUCUCUGGUGUUCUUCUUCUAAACCAAAGAAGAUGAAGAAGAUAAGUUGUGGGUACAAUGCCAUUUGACCAUUUCUAUGAAAAAAACAGAACAAAUAUUCACAGGAGACCCGAAACCCUGAAUCAAACACUAAACUCAGAAGAGCUUAAUUGAUAAAUCAAACAAUUGAAACUUGUCGCCCAACAUUAAUCUAGGUUGAAACGAAUGCAGAAACAGUAUCAGAAUUGGCAUUUUUUAGUAUUGGAAGCAAAGUUGAUGUCUUUACCUGGUUAAUAUGUCGUCGUCGGAUUAGAGUUACUGGGACGGUGCUGACUGCUGAGCUAGCUGAACUGAUAACUGAACAAGAAUGAAGACUGAGCGACUGACUGAGAGUCAAAGAGUUGAGAUGCUGGGCUGGAAAGCCCAUCACUAUUAUCUAGAAAAUGAAUUUCCAUGACUAAUUAAAUAAAAUUGUAAUUGAAGAAUGAUUUACACUUUAAUUUUGUCAAAACCUCAAUAUCAAACAAAAAAACAAAAAAAAUGCUGGUAGAAAUCGUAGGAUUAGUCACAGGAGAUCAAGGAAAAGGAGAGUAUAAACGGAGAUCCCUAUACCAAUUUGGAGAAGUAUGAUAUAUAUAGUUACUCUUUUUUAUAGUAGAAAAUACAAGAUAGUAUAGACGAAGAAAUGAAAACUUAGACCAUAUUUGUGUCCUCUUCUAAUUAACACUACUAAUUGGGAAGACAUGUAUUUCCUUAUAAAAUGCUUGUAGAUACCUUAUAUUUUGCGUCCCAUCUCUCGUAUUUAUAAAAGCAAAACUAAAAAACCUCAAAAUAUGCCACUGUAUGUGGAGAAGAUUUGUUAUCACAUAUAAUAAUAUCAAAUUCUAGCUCUUGGACUCUCAAUUUGAAGAUAAAUAUCUACUAUUUAGAGAUAAGUUAUCAAACAAGUUUACAUGUAACUAAGUUUAAUAUUGAGAUGUAAGACUUUUAAUUCUUAAACACUCACUCAAAUUCUACGUCUUCACUCUUUUUUUUCAUUGGUUUUUCUUUCUUUUGUCAUAUAUCCCAACUCCUGUUGACAAUUUGAUGACAGUUGUGCACCAAUUUACUGCUUUCUUUUAAAAAAAAUAUCAUCUCAAUUGAUGGACAACUGAAACAAGGGACCUCAAAUUUGAAAGCUACAGAAGAGAAAAAUGAAAUACCACACUUGAAUUUGCCACCUAACAACUGCCAUAUAGGAGAGACUAAAUGGAUAAGAUCAGAGUCACUUGGAUAUUUUCUCUUGAGAAAGUUGGAUACUAUCUGACUUUUUGGAUCACAAAAUUCCUACCACACCAAGUCCUCAAGACAAUAAUGCAAGCAACAAAUAUCUGCCUACUACCAAACCACCAUUUGUAUCCAUUUCUCAUAUAAACCCCAAAAUUUUGUGGGAAUAGAAACAAAGGAGUGACCAGGAGAAACUUUACAGGAGAGAACAAUGGAGUGUUGUGGCAGGCCUAACAGGAGUGACAUUCAUUUGUCAAGAGAAGAGGAGGCAAAGAUCGAGUCCGAUACAAGAGAAUACUUCGAUGGAGUAACGCCUAAGCGUCACUUGAAGCCUCAACGCAGCGAAUAUGAAUCUCAAUAUGUCGAUGUUAUCUCUAAACAAGAAUCCAUUCCUGAACUCGCUGAGUUCCAACGACUUGAGCAUGAUUCACAGGUUUGGUUUUCUUUCAUUCCUCAUGUACAUAAUCUGUUCCAAAAUUAAAUUAAGAAAGAAAAAAAUAAAAAGACUUGCGUCUGCCGGGAGUCGAACCCGGGUCUAUUGCUUGGAAGGCAAUUAUCCUAACCGUUGGACUACAAACGGUUGUUUGUUGAAUUUGGCAAUUAACAUAAUUUUAUUUGCUUUUUAUUUUGAGUUUUUGAAGCAGAAAUUGGUUGUGAACGGAAGUGAGGUGAGUGAGGAAUUUGUGGAGACAGAUUACUACAAGGACCUGAACGGCAUAGACAAGCAACACCACACGACAGGGACAGGGUUUAUCAAGGUAAAAAACCCUAGUGACAGAGGUUACCGCCUUGAACCCGAUUCCGACACCAGCAUUCAUGCCUCUUGCCAGUGCAACCCAGCAACUAAUGACUGGGUACCAGAUGCUGCUAAUGCAGUAAGUUAACCACCCACAUUUCCAUUAUGCAGAUCAGUCUCGUUCCGGUUAUGUGAACUGAACCUAUGCGACUGCUUUCUUGUUUUAGGAACCUCAUGCUUCAGGCAAGCCAGGCAGAAGUGACAACUAGGGUGGAAUGUGGAUCUCCAUUACCUAUCUUGAGCGAAAUGCUAAGGGCGCAUAACUCUCUGCAUUUGUGACUUUGUGGUUUGUACACGCAUUGAUGUGGCCAAUAAGUUUAUGUUUAAUCACCUGUGUGCCUUGAGUUGAUGAGAGUACGUAAUAAAUAGAGCUUUGUACGCUUCUUCUAGUUACAAGAGGAGGUUUGAAUCUUCGUUUUUAUGAAACAAUCAAGAGCUUCUGAGUUUGUCCGAAGAAAAAGAGCUGCUGAAUCUAUUCCAUAUCAAAAGUUACUUCAGAUCCACUACUAUUUUUCCCUUGAUUCUCUCAUGAGUUGUAAUUAUCGUAAAAUUACGUCAAAAACCUACCAAGAGAACAUUGCUUGGUGUACAACUUAAAUGGCUAAAUAAUAACCACCAGGAGAACAGAACAAUGAUGAGAAAAUUGCAGAAUAAUGCAUUUGAACCAUAAAUGCACGUCAAGACUCGAGGCAGAUUAAAACUGUCAGCUUGUUUGCAGCUGAACAGUUUCCUGAAUCUCAACUAAAAUGGCAAAAUAUUCCUGCCGUAUCUUACAAAAUCUACAUUUGCUAUGCGAAAAUUUUUCACAUAAGGGUAGGAAUCACUAAUCUACAACAAGGUAUGGCUCAUUUCCAGAUCCUUCUAUUUGGUACUUACAAGGACGAACUGGAGAGUUGUACCUUCAAGGAAGCAGUUAUACUCCUGUGACAUACAAGCUAGCUGCAAAAACAAUGUCACGUUUUAUUGCAUUUGAAGCUGUCUCCAUCUUCUUGUAUAGAGCAGAAUUACCCAUAAUAGAUGCAGCAUUUUUAAAUUCACGACAUGUCUCAUCAAGUCUAACAAUGGUGCGAACUAUCAUGCCUUCAGGAACAUCGGUAAGUUCACAAAUAUCUGCAAAUGGUGUGCCCUGCAGAUAAUAAGGACAUGUAAGAUAGACUGCUCCAGACAAGUCAAAGGAAUCGUUGAUAAAAUUCUAAGGUCAAACAGUCAAAACCUUUGCCCACUCAUAAACGACUUCAACAAGACCAAACUUGAGAUUCUCUCUGGCGUACUCCUCCGGAUUUAUUGGAAGUUUGAAGUAAGCUUGAAGCUCGCCUAGUCUUAUUGCUGUGUCGUACAGUCUGAAAAGAACAAACGUCGAAUCAGUUCUAACGCUCACUACAUCAGUCUUAUUUUUUUACUCUGUCAUUUUUUUUUUUUUAUAAAACAGUUUGGUAUGAGUUUAAAAUGAAGUAGGAUAAUGCAGAACAGAUCAUUUUAAUAACAAAUAUGCCAUGUAAGUCAGUAACAUUUUGAUUUUGAAUACUGAAGUCAGAUCUUCAUAAACACCUUAUUCAUUGCAAUGCUAAGAUCAAAGGCAGCACUUAAAAAACAUGGGUAAAUCUAGUGGCAAAUGUAGCUUCUAAAUGCAAGCAUACAGUAAUACAGCCUAAAUACUAUGCAUAUAUCUUGUAUUCAAGAUCUGAGCCUGGAAGUCUUAUGGCACAGAUGAAAAAUUAAUAUGCAAAAGAUGGAGAAUGACCUCUCUUUCGCCAUAGAAAGUUUAGGAGUAAGCGAAGGUUCAGAAGUAUUCUUCUGCUGAAAAACAAAAGAUGACAUUAAUGCCACCGCUUCUUCUGGUUCCAGGUCAUCUAGUUGGUUCUCAAACAAACACUCCGUGCAUAUCAACUCCUCCCCAGAAUUCAUUUCGCAUGCGACACGGCCUUUUAUUUGAACAACAAGGUCAGCAUCUAUACAUCCGAUUUCCUUCAGAACAUCUAUCUGAAAUUAAAAAAAAUAAAAUAUCAGUGGGACCCCAUACAACUGUAGAGACAUUCUAUACAAGCCAAAGCAACAAAGAAAGAAAUAUGUGAAUCAUGAAAAUAUACCCGGCCUUGAAAAUCGGGCAUCUGUUGAAGUGAUUCGUCUGACAUUUGAUACUUAAGAGCAUUAACUUCCUCGCUGUGUCUUUUUAUCUCUCUUGCUAACUUGAUGUGUUCCUCCAAUUUAAUACAUCCAUGGCACUUAUUCUUUGCCAUCUUCUGCAAUAAGUUAGUCCACUUGUAGUAUGUUUCCACAAGAUGCAUGUCUUUCAACUUCAGAUCUGAACCAGGAUCACCACUAUGAAGGUCAGAUUUAAGAAAGAGUUGACUCUAACAAAUUCUCAAAUUAUCUAAGUCUUCUGCACAUUAUUUUUUUUUCUUUCAACAACAGAACUAAUAAACCUGAAGAAGUAAUAUAACAGAAAAGAAUAAGUAAACAUGAAAUCAAGAUGUGGAUAGUUCAGAAUAUAGAUUUCCGAGGACAUAAAAAAUCUUAAGAAGAGGCCAUGCACAGCUUUACAAUAUUAUAUAGGUGCAUAUAUAUAUACAGGCCGGAUGUGAAGCGGACCAUCCGCGCUCGGCUUAAAGUGCGGACGUCCGUCCGUUCUCCACCCUCCAGGGCCGGCGACGGCACGCCUCCACCCCAGAAGACUCUAGCAGCGUCCCCGACCACUUUCCCUCCCCGGCGAGUCCAUUCUUUUCCGGCGAGAUCACCCAAAACCUCAAACAAAGUCGAUCUCGCUGGAAACUGGAAAAAAACAGACUCGCCGAGGAGGGGAAGUGGUCGGGGACGCUGCUGGAGUCUUCUGGGGUGGAGGCGCGCCGUCGCCCGGAGGGUGGAGAACGGACGGACGUCCGCUCUACAUCCUCUCUGUAUAUAUAUAUAUACACUGUUUCUGGUGCGGACGUCCGUACGGGUUUUCCGUACGGAUUUCCGCCGUUUCUCCACCAUUCCAGCGCCGGCGACGCCGUUUCUUCUCCCCGGUGUGAUCACAGACCUCCCCCGACGGUGUUGGAAUGAAGAAGAAGGCCGGAGAGAUCGUGAUCGGAGGUCUAUGCAGCAAUCUCACUCAGAACUUCACGACCAAUCAUGGUGGACCUCCGAUCGCGAUCUCUCCGGCCUUCUCAUUCUAACACUGUCGGGGGAGGUCUGAGAUCAAGCAGGGGAGAAGAAACGGUGUUGCCGGCGCUGGGAUGGUGGAGAAACGGUGGAAAUCCAUACGGCCGUCCGCACCUGAUAAUCCUUGUAUAUAUAUGUAUAUACAAUGCUGAUCAGGUGCAGACGUCCGCACCAAAGUUUUGGUGCGGAUUUCCAUUUUUGCACCACUUCCCGAUCGAAUUUCCUCAAACUUCCUUACAUAUCUAGAUCAUCUUGUGUAGAUCAUCUCUGCAAAAUUUCAGCCAAUUUAAUGAUCGUUAAGGCCCUCAAAAUCGAAUAACAAAUCGACGGCCUGUAUUCUGUCCGGUUCAGGUACAUAACAGAAAAACGCAAGUUUGAGGGCCUUAACGAUCACCAAAUUGGCUGAAAUUUUACAGAGAUGAUCUAGAUAUGUCUAGAAGGAAGUUUGAGGAAAUUCGAUCAGGAAGUGGUGCAAAAAAUGGAAAUCCGCACUUUGGUGCGGACGUCCGCACCUGAUCAGCUGUGUAUAUAUAUACAUAUAAUAUCCCCUUCCAGAGUGGGAUCCCACUUUGAAACUAAAGUGCGGGACUCCUUAUUUCGCUCACUUUCAGGUCGUAUUUCCACAUCUCAACCGUACAAUGUCUAAAACACAGUGUGUAGAUCAUUCCUGCAAAUUUUCAUCAAAUUUGAAAAUCAUUUGAGUUUCCGUAAUCGUGAUUUACACGAACGGUUCUGUUUGGACAACUUUUGUUUUGUUGAUUUAUUUAAUCUAAUUCGGUACCAAAUGAUCUUCAAAUUUGAUAAAAAUUUGCAGGAAUGAUCUACACGCUGUGUUUUAGACAUUGUACGGUUGAGAUGUGAAAAUACGACUUGAAAGUGAGCGAAAUAAGGAGUCCUGCACUUUAAUUUCAAAGCGGAAUCCCACUCUAGAAGGAGACUAUAUAUAUAUAUAUAUAUAGAGGCCGGAUUAGGAGCGGACGUCCUCACCGGCCUUAAAGUGCGGACGUUCUCCACCCUCCGGCGUCGGCGACGGCGCGCCUCCACCCCAGAAGACUCCAGCAGCGUCCCCAACCACUUUCCCUCCCCAGCAAGUUCGUUCUUUUCCAGUUUUCCGGCGAGAUCAUCCAAAACUUCAAACAAAGUCGAUCUCGCCGGAAAGCUGGAAAAAAACAGACUCGCCGGGGAGAGAAAAUGGUUGGGGACGCUGUUGGAGCCUUUUGGGGUGGAGGUGCGCCGUCACCGGUGCCGGAGGGUGGAGAACGGACGGACGUCCGCACUUUAAGCCGAGUGCAGACGUCCGCUUCUGAUCCUCAUUCUAUAUAUAUAUAUAUAUAUAUAUAUCUAGUAAUAAUCUUAUUAGAAACAAAACUUUCAAUAAUGAAACAAAAGGAGUACAACUGUGUAUACUUUUUAUGUAGCGAUACGUUAGUAUAAGUCAAUAAGACUUGCUUUCCCACACAAUAAUUUGCCAUAUAAGUUGUGAAAAUAGAUAUACCUUUCAAUGGAUCCAAUGCUGGAGGGUACUUAUUUCCCUCAGAUUUUUUUUCCAACAGCUGUUGCACCGUCUUGGAGUAAGCAGCACUACUACUGUCCUCAAGAAGCCGAACUUGGUCAAUCUUUAUUUUGCAUGCGCAUAUGUAUAAGAAGUCUGUGUUAUCGGCUCCUCUAACCUCGUAUCUCACCCCAGCAGCUGCACCCUGGUGUGGUAAUUUUAUGUUGAUGGCACCUGAUCCUUUGCGAGAAGAAACAGAGGUACAAUACUCUUCUUCAAGAGCACGUUUAGAUUUAGCUACCAUGUAGAAACCCUGAGAAGAAUCAGUGUUUUUGGUAUCUUGUAAGCUACCACUAGCCAGGGGAGUUUGGAUUGUCGCUGGUAGUUCAGGUUUCAGCACUAAAACAAUGUGCUGCUUAUUACUAGAAGAAGGUGCUUUCACAACAACUCCAAGCAAGUGAUCCUGGGCCUGUUGGUAUAGCAUCCAGAAAGUUUUAACUCACCCAUAACUACUCAACAAAAAACCAGAUAAAAGCCUCUUAGACAAAAUGGAGUUUACAUGUAUAUUCAAACAGUGAAGUGUGAACACAAUAACAGUACGACGUACUUAAAAGCUAACAACGGACAUAUGAUGCUAUGUGAGGACUAGAAACAUUCUUCUGCUUUGAAUCUCUUUGGACCUCUUGUCCACUUUUAGUCUAGCAUUCCCUUUUAACUUCAUUUUCAAGAGCAGAAGCAAGGAUGAGAUGGCAAAGCCUCAAAUGCAACAUUCCUAUUGACCCUGGAAGGCUGGAACUCAUUGAAUUUUUUCAUUUAUUGUUAUCAUUAAUUUUCAAAGUCAUAUUGUCAAGUUAUUGAAAUUUUACCAACUAAUUUUUCUUUUAGGCUGAAGAUAUAGAACCUUAGACAUAUGAACACUCAUGCUUUAAUACAUAAAACUUCAAACUCUUUCAGUUUAUGAAAUCUCCUCUAUGACUCCCCUUAGAUACAUAAAACUUCAAACUCUUUCAGUUCAUGUAAAUCUCCUCCAUGAUAUCUCCCACCCUUAUGCAUACAAAUGACAGUGAAAAAUCAAGCUUUGGCCAAGUUUAACGGAUAUAUAGAUCUUUUAAAGUUAUGGUUAAAUUUUUAAGUUAUAAUAAUAAAGUCUACAAGUAUUCUUCAAAUCACAACAUCAGACAAUAAACAUGUUUUUCUUCUAAUCUUAGUUUUGAUAGGUACUCAGAUGUCAGAGGUCAGCCUAUUAGUAUCUUUAUGUUUCCCAUGCGGGAAAAGACCACAAAAAUCAUGCAGGAAUUAACAUUUACAACAGCUUUGACACUGGAUGUUAGGUAGAUGCCUUACUACAAUUAUUAAUACUCCAACGAGUACAACAGAAAUUGGAUCCGAGAGGAGGAAAAGGAAGGAAAUCUUAACAACUAAACAAAUAAUUAAGGACUCACUGAUUGUGAUUUCAUGACGACCACUCUUCCAGGAGUAAGAAAUUGUUGGGCAACAGAGGACUGCAUUACUGCCUCCAAUAUUUCUGUGCUAUGCUUCUGCGCUUCUGAGUACAUGUCAUAAUACUCCUCAAUAGCUGGUUCCCCUUUGAUACAUCUACAUGCAAGUACCCAUGUUUCGUGAACCAUCAUAAGACAAAAUAUAUGAUAAGAACUUUUGCUAUUAAUUCGUCUAAGAGCAAUCAACUAACCUUAAACAUAGGGAACCCACCCCUUUAUCAACUAACCUUAAACAAAGGGAACCCAUCGACAAUUGUUGGCAACCAAAAAGGAGAAAGAAAAAAAUUGUUUCUAUUACUGACAAAAGCCUAAUAUGCUAUGACAUGUUCACAAGUGGUACAAGUGCAACUUGUAUUGUUUAAUACGCAUACUAAGAGCACAAAUAAUUUCACUAGCAAACAUUAAAAUCAGCAGAAUUCCAACCACAAACAUGGCUCAUUUUCUUUUAAACCUUGCAUACCUGACAAAACUAUGCCACAUUUCACAAGUUACGAAUAGACUGAGUGCAACAAGCAUAAAUAUCAACUAAGAAAAAACAAAUCAGUGGGCUGUACUGAAUCCUACAUAUAGAGUGUACAAUACAAGACAGAUCAGUAUAAUCAAGACUAAUGAGAACCUACUCGAUACUUUUUGUAGGCUGAGCAAGUUUUCGCAUCAGAAGUUGCUGCAUAUCAGGUAGUUUCUUCUGAGCAUGGAACUCAGCGAAACUUCUUUUCAGCAUGUCCUCCACCUGCGGUGAUGGUCUCAAUCAAUAUUAGUACAUGUAAUGGCCCUCGCAGCAAUGAACACAAGAAGGCCAUUGCAUGUAUAAGUUGAGCAAUGUCUAAGGGGUCUUUAUCCUGGAAAAUUCUACAAUGUGUUAAUGCAUGUGAAUGAUGUGAUGCAUCACCUUUGUAAAUUGAGUCCUCAAACUAGUAAUAUUAGUCCUCGAAGUUGUAAUAUGAGUUCUUCAAGUUGUAAAAUUUUCUAGUUACAACAUUAGUCAUCAUGUGUCCUUAAAGUGGUAAAAUGUGUGCUUAAAGUGGUAAUUGAGUCAUCAAAGUGAUUAAAAAAAAGUUGUUACAACUUUUAGGACUCAUAAUACAACUUUGAGGACUCAAUUACCACUUUAACGACAAAUGAGGACUAAUGUUGUAACUAAUUUUUUUUUACAACUUUAAGGACUCAUAUUACAAGUUUAACAACACGAUUACUACUUUGAGGACUUAUUUUACAACUUGAGGACAAAGUUGAUGCAUCACAUGCAUUAACACACUCUAGCCUUACCCCUUUAUUCUUUCCUAGUGAACUCAAUGGAAGGUCUUUAUUCAUCCUAGUGAUUCUCAAAAGAGUAUUAAUCCACCCCAGAAAGAAUGUACUUACGGUAUACUAUUACGGAAAGUUUUUGGGACCUUAUAUAUACUGAAAGAAUGUACUUCUAUUGCCCCCAUAAAGCUAUAGAAGUCAAAGAGUAUUCCUGUAUUUAUCAAAACUUCAAAAGCUAUAUAUACAUCAUUGACAUGGGCUUUACUUUCAGAAAUUAGCUUCUUCAAUCUGGAAUGGGAUUAGAAAUGGAAUCUGAGGCCCUGUUUCCUUUCCCCUACAUGUAUCAAUGAGACUGACAUGAAUUAAUAAGUACCUUUAGUUCUUCAACACGAAGAAGAUGCAUGAUCAUAAUAUAAGUAAGCCGAAACUGAGAUUCUAGCCUGGUUGCACUUCCAACUAUGACAUGCGUCAAAUCCCUCUCUUCUAGGAUUUCAUCACGGCACAUUACAAUCACUGUACCAAUUUUAUCAAGUCCUCUCCUGCCAGCACGGCCUGCCAUUUGAGUGUAUUCUCCUGGUAGUAGUUGUCUGAAUUCCUUGCCAUCAAAUUUCCUUAAUGUAUCAAAAACAACCUGUGCAAAAUCUUGACACAGGUUAGAGUUCAAGAUAAUAAUGUCAUAUCUACAACUGAUACACAGCAGAUAGGAAGAUGCACUGUCACUAACCCAUCUGUCCAUUUUAGAGAUUUAAUAACCAGGGCGCAAAAGCAGGAUCCUUUUCCACUAAUUCCUGAUAUCUAAUUUCUUCAUAUUAAUGCGUUGUUCAACACAGACUAACAGAAACUAGAAGUGUCUUUGCAAAAUAUUAUUGUACAUUUAGGUGCCAGUGUGCCACAGACCAUGUUCCUUUUCAUUGUUAUAUACAAUUGACAUCAUAUUUAACCACUUCAACCGAUAGGAUUAUUCCGUAAGAUUGAUCAAUGAACUUAGCACUCAAAGAGAUGCAAGAACACAGAAACACCCCAGGUUGAAGAUGUUUCUUGUUUGGACAAGUAGUUAUUUACCAAGGAAGUGAAGGAAGCACCCCAAAAAUCUUGAUAGGGCAGUGGAAAAUAUACUUACAAUUACUCUGUUUAUAAUAGUUCCUAACACAACUCACCGUUCUCGCUGGUGCAUUAACUCCCAUUGCAAAUGUCUCUGUCGAAAAUAGAACCUACCAAGGAAUUAAAGGAAGGUUACAAAACGAAAAUCACCAAAGUAACUCAAAUUCAAUUAGAUGUAGAAAUACAACAGAGGAGACUCAAAACUAAUGGUCACUGAUAUACAGUUAGCCGAAACAUCAUCAAGGUAUCCAGAGAAUCAUUUUAAAUAACACAACAUCAAUCUCAUGAAACAAAUAAAAUCCAGAACAGACAUCCACCUUUAUCACACCACGACAAAAGAGCAUUUCAACAACUUCCUUAACAAUUGGAAGAAGUCCUGCAUGAUGGACACCAAUCCCUCUAUGGAGAAGAUUUUGAACUCUGACAACCUGCAUUUGAGAACCUAUCAUGUCUGAAAACCAAGGUUUAAUAUUUAAUUAAGAUGAAAUGGUAAGCAACUGGACCUGAGGUAAAUUCCUGUCAGAUCCCUUCAGCCGUGAAAAUGCUUUGUCACAGAAAACACGAAUCUGACUUUUCUCAGAACUACUUGUGAGGUCAAUUCCCAACAUGCUAUCAGCUGACCUAUCACAGCGAUUCUUUGAGAAACAAAAUAUAACCACCUGUGGAGACAAGUCAAGGCAUAAGAUUACAGAAAUAAUAGACAAGAGUGCAGGCAUCAACAAGCUCAAUUCCUAAAUAUAGCAAUCCAAAAUUUGCAUAAAUUAAACAAAAGUCAUGUAGAUACUUGAGCUAAAAACAUGGAAGGAAGCAUAGUUUUCUCCUCUGCUAAAUAUAAACAUGCAAAUUCCAUUUGGCAUUGCCUUCGUUUUUCUCAUUAUUCUCUAUUUCAGUAGAGCAAGCGGACUUUUUCUUUUCUUUUCUUUUCAUGUCUAUUUAGUUUCAGAAAAGAGGAAACAAUAAUCAAGUAGGCAUGCCUCCAGUGGACAUCUGCAAUAUUUAAAAUGCAGACACCAACCCUGAAAAGUGAUUAAAUGAUACGGACCAGUCAUUCUUUAGGUCCUUGGCAAGGAUUUUCCUUGCAAAGAAUCAGCCAACGCACACAGUUUGGUCUACAACAUGUUGAACAAAAUGAAAAUGACAAUGAUGGUAAGCGAAUGCCUAAAUGACUCUUGAUUUUGGCUGAUUUAUGGCAGAUGUGUCCUCGAGAGAGGACUUGGAAGAAAGAUAGUUCUGAUCAUUUGAUUGCAUCGGGGGCUGAUGACUGCAUUUUCAAAAAUUUUAUGGACAUCCACUCUUCAUGCUGAUCUUAGAAGCUCUUGCUGUAUUCUUUUCAGAAGUGGCUAGAAUCAAAUGAAUAAAAGCGAUAGACAUGUGUGAAAGGAAGUAAGUUCAAACAUACAGGUAAUAGUGACUUCUUUGACAGCUUGUUAAUAAGUGACAACCACGAAGAAGCAUCUGAUCUUCUUAAACCCCAAUUGUUCAUGCCAUUGCCGUUGUUUUGAUUUGCUCCACCAGUUCUGGAUAAAUUCCCUGAAUUAUGGGCACCUGAUUGCUUCUGUUUUUCCAUAUGUGAGGUUUCACGUUUUGGACCUCGAGCCCCAUCAUGAGAAGCUGACGCAGAAGCUGGAGCACGUGAUCCACCACCACCACCGCUGGUGGCAGGACUCAUAGUCUUUUUCUUGAAUGUAUCUUUUGCCGCUUUGAAGCCCUGAGGAAUGAAGGUUUCACUUUCACAUAUCUUGUAAAGUUCUCCAGAGUAAAAUAGGCAGUGCUCCAAUGGGACUGGUCUUUUUGUAGUCCUAUAAUAAAAUUACACUCAAAUAUAAAAUAUUGGAGAAAAGUUGAGAAGGAAGCAACAUAAAUGUUUUAAAGCGUCACAAAAGAUGAGAAAAAAACUCAGUUCAUGACAUGAUUUGAAUUGUUGAAAAAAGCAAAAAGAAAAACGAAAAAAAAAAAACAAAGAAGUUGAAUCAAAGGCCAUUUACUGCACCAAUACAUGCUUACCCAGUAACACGGAUUUGCUUUUGCUUUGUCCGUCCAAUCCAGUCAGCAAACUCAACUUUGUUUGGCACCUAUAAAUUGACAAUUAGCACAACAUGAGAUGCAUCUGUUGUACAAAAAAUAAUAAUGAAAAAAGAAAGGGUCUGUCUGGACUCUGGAGAUCCAAUGAGCUAGUAUUGUAACACAACCUGAUAACUAAACCUAAAAUGUUAAGAAAUAUGAAAGCAGUUAUCCUAUUGCUUUCAGGCACAAGAAAAUAGGCAAAGAAGCAUGCCCUGUAGAAAGAUACCAGGUGACUUACAUGUUAGCCAAAUUUUGAAAAUUAGAUACUGCCAACUCCUCUAGCAUUAGUUACAAUAAAAUAUGAAUUUCAUAGCACAUCAACUGUCAGGAAAAAGGAAAGAUAGUGGACAAUGCUUCUAUACUAACCAACCAAAUAGCUGGUAUUACUGCUUAGAUUAAUUCUAAGAAAUGAUUACUUUUUCAGAUAGAAACAAAUUUUACAAAGACAUCACAAAAUAAUUUAGCAAAAAAUGCGUAAUGAAUUAAAUUGUUAUAGACCCGAUAAUGGCCUUGCUUAAUGGAAUAUUACAAAUAAGUGAUAUAACAUUUAAGGGUAGGUUGGACAAUUAUGAAUAGUAAACAAAAAAAACAAACAAAAAAAUUGAAAACAAUUAACAUGGGGGCAGAGUUUCUUAUAAUUCCAAUUGCAUGUUUUUUGACUUUUUCUUUGGGCACUUUGAAAACAAAAUUAGAUAAAUAAUCAGUAGGGGCACUUUGAUAACAAAAUUAAAUAAAUAAUCAACAGCAAAAAUCCAACAAAAUUAAGGAAAUAAAUAUUAAAAAAACAAAUAAUUGAGCUUGCACACGUGUCAAGAGGCUAGUAGUUAAUGAAUAAACAAGAGGAGACAAAGAGACACCACCAGAUUAAACAAUGAGCCUAUUCACCAAAAAUAUUCGAAAAAACAGUUUCCAAAUAAGAAAUGAAAAUUUUGAGAUGGUUGUAAGAGCAACUUUAGCAGACUCUCUGUUUUAGAGAGCGUGUUUAGCUUUCUUUGAUAUUUUCGGAGCUCCAGCAGACUAGCCAAAGUUUAGCUAUUAUGACUUUUAGCUAUCUCGCUAGCUAAAUAUAGAGAGAGCAAAAUGACUCAGAUGAGGCUAGCUAUAAUUUAAUACAUUCCUUGUAAGAUAUUUUACGUGAUAUAUAAAUAUAUUUAAACUAUUUAAUCUUUAUUUGAAGAAUAAUGUUGAUGUAAUGUUAGCUAAAAUAAAGAGCAUUGAUGCAGCCGCAUUUCUAAAGUGGCUAGCCAAAAUGACAUUUUAGCUAAUUUGACUAAAAUUUAACUCAAAAAUGGCUAGCAUUGCUAAAGAUGCUCUAAUAUCUAAUACUAGCAAAUGAUAAUUUUCAAGAAACUCAUUUAUCAUUUAAAUAUCUUAUUCAAAUGAAUAGAGAGGAUGAGAAGCGGACGUCCGCACUCGGCUUAAAGUGCGGACCUCCGUCGGUUCUCCACCCUUCGGCGCCGGCGACGGCGCGCCUCCACCCCAGAACACUCCAGCAGCGUCCCCGACCACUUUCCCUCCCCGGCGAGUCCGUUCUUUUCCAGUUUCCGGCGAGAUUGAUCUUGUUUGAAGNNNNNNNNNNNNNNNNNNNNCUUUCCCUCCCCGGCGAGUCCGUUCUUUUCCAGUUUCCGGCGAGAUUGAUCUUGUUUGAAGUUUUGGGUGAUCUCGCCAGAAAACUGAAAAAGAACGGACUCGCCGGGGAGGGAAAGUGGUCGGGAACGCUGCUGGAGUGUUCUGCGGUGGAGGCGCGCCGUCGCCGGUGCCGGAUGGUGGAGAACGGACGGAGGUCCGCACUUUAAGCCGAGUGCGGACGUCCGCUUCACAUCCGGCCUGAUCAAAUGAAAUCCUAUACUAGUCAACAUUUAAAACACUGAUCUAUAACCUUUUGAUAGAUAUAAUUCAAUUAACAAUUAUAAUGCUCCCAUCAACAAGUUUUUUAUUAAAUAAUAUUCAAUUGUUUGAUGACCUAUUGAUUCUAAUAACUGAUUGUUAUAAUUUCAUAUUUGUAUCACAUUUUUUAUGGUGCUAAAUAAUAUCACGGAAGAGUACAUACCGUAGCUGAAAGGAGGACAAUGUUGAUGUGUCUUGGGAGCAUUAUAAUAACUUCUUCCCAGACAACACCUCUUUCGACAUCAUUGACAUAAUGAACCUCAUCAAAGAUAACCUGUCUCCGCAUGCACAUGCAGAAAGAUAGCAAGAAUAUUACAGCAAUUAAAGUAUUGAGAACUAUCCAUAGAAAGGAGGGAAAACACUAAUCAUGAUAUAUCAUAGAAACAAUUCCAAUUACCCAUUCAAUAUCACGUAUGAUGUCAGCACCCCUAUAAAGCAUUGAUCUUAGUAUUUCAGUGGUCAUAAUGAGACAAGAAGCCUCGGGCCUCAAGCUAACAUCACCAGUGAGAAGUCCAACAUCGAAUUUUCCACAGAAGUCCCUAUAUUUUUGGUUGCUGAUGGUUUUGAUAGGAGCUGUAUACACAGCUCUAGUGCAAUGCUGCACGGUAUUAGAAUAUGGAAGAAUAUUAAACAACAAUCAUUUAACUGCAAUAAAAAGUAUUCACUAGUAAAAGAAUUCAGGAUAUACUUUUGAUGCCAAAGCAAAUGCAUAUUCUGCAACAACUGUCUUUCCAGCUGAUGUGUGAGCAGCUACAAAUACAGACUCCCCCUUUUCAAGAUAAUAAAUUGCCUGAACAACGGUAACCAAGGGUUAUCUAAGCAGAAAUAAAUCUCGGAUUGAUAAUAUCUACACUAUCACAGCAAAACAAAAGGAGAAAAAUAUACAUGCUCUGUUUUAUUGAAAAUCCUGCAAUAUACGAUAUGAACAUUCUACUAACGGUCUAAACAUAAGAAGUUUCACACUCAUUACCUCCAGAUCCUUAAAGCAUUAGAAAUAAAGAUGCUUUAAGAAUCCUCUCUGGGUGAGCAUGGUGAAAGUUUAUAUAACUAAUUUGAAAAUCAAACUAUUCUUCAGUCUUUAACCUUCUCAAGAGUGCAAAAAAGUUUAGAUAUUUUGACAUUAAAGUACUAAGCACGAAGUUGGUUCAUAUUUGUUUUACCUUGUGCUUUGUCAUAUUCGUACCUACCAAUUAGUUGUUUUGAUGGGAAACUUGAGGCUUAACAGGUCUUUUAUACACAUAAAUCAGUAAAUUAGAGUGAUUAGACACAUAUUUUUAAUUGGGUGAUGUUGCAGAUUUCCUAGAGACGUUGAUUGUGUUGACCACAGAUUGUUGUCAGCUAGAGACUGAACUAUAUUUUAGCACUCUUUUUUUUUUUUUUGAGAAAUAUAUAUUAAGAAUAAAUUUCAGGGUUUCUUUCAGAACAAAUGAUACUGUAAAGAUCCAACUCUACUAUUUGGACCUAUCAAAAAUCAAUCUAUCAAUUUUUAUAUAUCCCACAAAAAGAAAAAACAAUACCAAUCAAUCUCUAUAGAAAACAUACAGAAAGAUGGAUUCAAGCAAUACCUCCUUUUGGAAUGUAUCCAAUUCGAAAGGAAAAUCAAGUGCCAUAUCAGGAACAAGAUCAUUAAAAUUCUCUGAAAUCCAUUCAGUACGUCCACUAAUAGCCCAGGCCUGUCAAUGGUCAAUAGCUUACAAAAAUAAACAAACAUGUAAUGCAGAGAAAGAGACCUGCUAAAUUCAUAUAUGAGAAAGUUAACUUAAACUACCACAUCACUAACUCUUACCUCCGGGUUCUGUUCACCACCAGUUCCAUUGAAUCUUGACUUUGAGUCUCCUGCCUCAACAGACAAGAUCUCAUCCAAAACAGACAGUUCAGGCUCAGAAGGAUUGCUGGUAAUAUCAACAUCAACCACAUUUACUUCAUACUCUGACUCAACAGAUUCUGAUCCUGACAAUUGACCUUUGGGAAUAACAUCCUCAUUAAAACAAACGAAAACUAUAUAUUAAAAUGAUCAAAACAGAACUAACAGACCAGAUACUUGCAGCAUUUGGUCCAUGGUUCAAAGGUAAUGUUGAAUAAUUAACAGCAUAUGUGUCAACCACACAAAAAAAACAUACUCAUAUAUAUGUAUAAUAACACACGGUUAUUAUUCCUAUUAUGCAUAAAUUUUGCCACAAGAUCACACUUGUUUAUUGUUAACUGUAAUGUCAGCUAAAAUCCACAAUUGUUCUUGAAGAUGAAUGAUGGAGAAGGAGGAGGUGAGCAAACUUAUCAGUGCACAACUGAUUACAGACCACCAGAAGCAGACAUCCAGAGUCAAUACAGGAUCCUGGAACGUCUGACAAUUCUGCAUAAGUCUGCUCGUCUACUUAAAUUUAGAAGCGACUUGCCUAACUUGGUCUAAUAGUUGCAAAAAUAGUCAAGAACACAAUUCAAGCAAUGCAAAUCUAGAAGAGCCAAGCCAGCCAUAAUAUAUUUGAAUGAAGUAAUAUCUAAUUCGGCGUCUGCUCAGAUUCCAAUGCCCAAGCAUUGGCCUCCAUGAAUAUAUUUAUAUCCCUCAACCAUAAGAUCAUAACAUUAUAAUUAGGUAUAUGCUGUUGAAAUAUAUCAAAUUUGCAUACUGUACAUACCGUCUCCUUCUAAUUCAACAACAUCCUCAUCCCAAGCCUUUUUGAACAAGUCAUCAAACUGUACAGACAACUCACUCUGCAUACCCUAGAAAUACAUUGAGAAAACCUUUGUCAGCAUGUGAUCGUUAUAAUUGAGAAAAGACUUCACUCACAUACCAAGCCGCACAUGCCUAUAUAUAAUAUCUAUAUAUAUAAUUAUAAUAUACAUGUAUGUAUAUAUAUGUAACCAAACCCUUUGCUCAUUCACUUCUUGACUAGCUACUAAUUCCAGAUAAAAACUCCAAGAUGUAAGAGAGUAAUACAUGGAAGGCUAUAUGUAGGCAAAUCGAUAACAAGAUAACUGGCUAAAAUAGGUAACUACACAAGAGAACUUCUAAAAUUGAUACAGAAAUGCUGAGUCUAGUUAAAAUUGUAACAGGUUCAAAAUAUUUGAAAAUGGAAAGAAAGCAUGUGGAAACAAAACUGACCAGCUUUUCAUCUGAUGUGCUCUUGACUGAUCUUUGAUCAUUGUAUACAUUCCAUGAGACUGGAUAUGCCUAACACAAGAGCUCUUCUGUCACUAUGAUAUGUUCAAAUUUACAACUUUCAAUCAAGAUCACAACUAAACUAACCUUGAGAGGACCAAGGUCCAAUCCUUGCUUAAAACUUGGUGGAACAGCCUGCGCAGGGCCACCAGUCAGAAGUUGGCGUACCCAUUCGCCAUUAGAAGCACCUUCGGGAAGAGUUCUUUCUAGAGAUUGGGAAUCAUCCAAGCCUCCUGGACGAAAAGGGCGGUUGCUGAUGCUUCCCCGUACAAAAUCCUUUGCUGGUCCGGCCAUGCGUGGCAACGAACCAGACUCUUGUGCUUCUACAGUACGUUCUGUUUCAUCAACCUAAGGAAAUAUAAUAAGCAAACUCUGGUCCACAUGUCGGAAACCAAAAAAACAAUGGUGACACUACAUUACUACAGUACUGUCAUUACUACAACAGUGACCUUAUGAAAUAUAAGGAAAUGUUCGGCAAACAUAUUGCUCAGGCUAGAACAACUCGAAAAGCAACGCGAAAAUGUGGCUCCAAAGUUGUUAGUUUGUGUCAACUAAUGUGGACCAAAAUUAAAACCUCUCCACUCUUCCUCAAGAGGGAAUGGCUCGACCUCAGCUGCUUCUCAUUUCAGGUGAUUUAGACUCAAUAAACUCAAAGACAACAAACAAUGCAUUAUGAUUCUGACUUCCCAUACUCUGCUAAGCGAUAUUAUUAAUGUAAACACAAACACCGAGUGAGCCGCAUACCUGCACAGAUUUAGGUUCCCAUAUCCCUCCUUCUGAUCCAUUCUUCUGGCACCUAAACGGUAACUCCCAUGUAGGAACAACAACAGACCGCGGCAACGAUGGCUCCAACGGCACAUUUGCCUUGUCAAACCAGUCGAAAUCCCACUGCCUCCCAGCCUUUUCCGGUGCAAAUACAUCAGAAUCCAAUCUCGGCAACAAAUAUGUCUCCUCUAUAUACUCUUUUAUCGACUCCGGCGUCUCCCUAACAAAUGCAGGAGGCUGAUACACAAUUAAACGCAUAUCAUCAACACUGACAUCAUGAAUUUGUCACUAAACUCCACCAACUUUUCAGUUCAGAAGUAAAUUCCGAUAAUCAAUUGUACUAAAAGUGCUUAUGCUAGAAGCUCGAUACAUGAAGCCGAACCCUAGGGAUUGAAGAAACUGAAAGAACGAGAAUUUAAGGCAAUUCGAAUAGGUAGAAGGAGGAGACUGACCAGAACGAAAUCGGGGAGCGACUUGACGGGGUCGGAGCGCUCGGCGGUGAAGAGAGGCUCGAGCCUGAGGUGGCCGCUGUGGCCGGAGAACCCGACCCGGAAUGAGAGCUCCUUCGCGGCUUCUAUCGGAUCCAUUUACUUCUGUUUGAGUGUUCUGAGGGGUUUUAAGUCGGAUUUUGGAUUCGGAGUGGCUUCACUGUCACUCAUUCACUCUCUAUGGUGUAGAAGCCUAGAAGGCAGUCCGAGGAAUUUGAAAUCACGAGGGUUUAAAGUUUCUCAUGUCUUCAACACUUCAACCCAGUCGCGCCUCUUGCCUUUGUGAUAGUUUUUUGUUUUUGCAAAUUGUUUUUCCGAUGAAAGAAAGAAAUUACAACGAUGGACAUUUAAAACAUAUUAAAAAAAAAGUCAGAAAAAAAGACAUUUUGAGCAAAUAUAAGGUAAAAAUGUAUCUAUCUAGCUGGGAGUUCCGACAUGGUGGUCAAGACUAGCUCAAGCGUCUGCAAUAAAGUUUCCUCUCUCUAUACGUGAGUAAAACUAAUUAAAGUGAAAUGGCUAGUCAAAACUUGAAUAUCAUGAAUUAUAAUGAAAAGUAGUCUAAUUUUACAACAAUUUUUCAGUUUGACUUUGUGUUUUUUCAUCCUACACAUAUCACUUAACGACUUCGGCUAUGAUUUUUUCUUUUUAUGUAUGAGAAAACUCCAAAAGUCAUUCGCAUAUGAUGAAAUAAGUCCAUUACUUAUGAAAUUGUUUUACAUAUAUUUCAAAUGAUUUCAAACAGUUUAUAAAACAAAACAAAAAAGGAUAAGAUUAUCUUUGUAAUAAGAAAGUCUUGACUACGAAAAAAAAAAGUUAAUUAAAAGAAAAGACUUCUUCUUUUUUCUGUUACAAAAAGAAAAGGUUUUUUUCUCGAUAGAAUUAAAAGAAAAAUUAAUUAAAACAAAAGAGUUUUACCAAAAUCAGCUUGGGUGUACCACGUGUCUAAAAUUUUGUGGUACACACUAGAUUGACGCAAAGCACGGGCCACGAAACAUUAAACAAGAUUUAAGUGUGGUAUCGCGUCCGACUCUCUCUCCAGAAUCUUCACCUGACUUCAUCCCUAUAUAAAGCUCUCCCUAUGAACAAUUUCGUGUUCUAAUCCCCAAACCAUCAUCCGAGAGAGAUCGAGAUUUUCAAUUUCAGUGAGCAAGUAUUGUCUCUGCCAUCAAUCUUUACGGUUAGUUCCUCUUCUCCUUCUUCAUAUUUGAUUUACCCAUUUUUUUGCUAUAUAUUUCAAUAUUUGUGUAUGGAAAUUUAGGAAUCUUAGGAUCACAUCUUGAAUUACGACAUGUUUAUCGCAAUUGAUUUAUCUCGGAAGAUAGAGAUUCUUCUAAUAGGAAUAUAUUGACGAUUUGAAAUUAGGGAGACUGGUGAUUUCGUCAGCUUUAUUGUCUUUUCUCCUCUAAAGAUUAGUCUUGAAAAAGAAUAGGUUAGUUUGUUAAUGUCUUCGUUUUUCCCAUAAUUUCAAUGGGAGAAUAUGAACUUUUGAUUUUGUAAAAGCUCGAAAUGAGUUUUUUCUUGUUCUCCUGAAAUUGGAGUAUAAUCCGUGUUGUUGUUCUUUGGCUACAGAUGUCGUACUCGAGAAGGUCAAGGUACUCUCCCUCUCCUUCGCCUAAGCGAUACAGGUCUCCAUCUCCUUCCCCAAGGCGAUACAGGUCCAUUUCGCGGUCCGUCUCGAGGUCCAUGUCCAGAUCAAGGUUUGUGCCUUUAUCCCAGCUGUUUUUCACGUUCUGUUGAAUUGUUUACAUUAUUUGUGUUUUUAGUGUGAUCUUCAUGUGUUUUGUUUUGAAAGCUUAUGCGUUUCUGAUUUGAUUUGCAGGAGCCCAUCUGUGGAGAAUCCUGGGAACAAUCUGUAUGUGACUGGAUUAUCACCUCGGAUCACAAGGAGAGAACUUGAGAAGCAUUUUGCGUCCGAGGGAAAAGUAUGUGUUGGACUGCCCUUUUCUAUCUUGAUUUGUAUUUUUAUCAUCUUCUAAUAGUGUUUGAUAUUUACUCAUGAUUUUAAUUUUGCUGAUUUGGGUGUUUUAGGUGAUUGAUGUCCAUCUUGUAGUUGAUCCAUGGACAAGAGAAUCUCGUGGAUUUGGGUUUGUUACCAUGGAAAAUGUUAAUGUGGCUGACCGCUGCAUCAAAUAUUUAGAUCGCUCUGUUCUUGAAGGUCGUGUGAUUACAGUGGAGAAGGUAAUGUUUGUUCCCUUUUUACUGUGAUUAUUGCUGGUUCGUCCAUUUGGUUCAAUUUUUUAUUUAGUUUGUACUCUAUUCUACAUUAUAGUGGGAGUUUUAAUUGUUUGCUAUUGGUUACUUGAGAUUGAAAGUUUGUUGCUUCUUUCCACUUGAAGUGUUUCUGGCAGCACGUUAGCUGUGUGCAGCAGCUCUUCACCAAUUUCCAAACCACAACUUAACAAACCAAUCAAACUCACCAAGUAUCAGAUCACUAGGGUUGUAUGCCCUGCAUUUCUCUCUUUUGUAGAAGUUAAACAUAUUCUUGCUAUAUAUGUUCUGUUUCCAUUGCCUUGGCAUAUAAUAAUUCCUAGUAGAUACUCCUAUUUUGUUGUUAGUCGGUUUGGUACUCAAUGAUCUCAUUCUUUGUUUUGGUCUAUUACAGGCUAGAAGGCGGAGAGGGCGAACCCCCACUCCAGGAAGGUAUCUUGGUCUGCGAACAAUUCGUGGUAAGCCUUUUUUUAUCUGCUCAUACUUGAUAUGUCACUUUUACUUCUCUGGUGUCUCUUUUAAUGAGUUGUUUGUUUUCUUUGUAGGGCGCCGGCGAACCCCUAGCUACUCCCCACCUCGCAGGUCUCCUACCUACUCUCCUUACAGAAGGAGCUACAGUCGAUCGCCCGGUUACUCAUCUGACCGAAGUAGGAGCAGAUCAUACUCUCCUCCAUACAGAAGGCGGAGAUCUUACUCUCCUGACUAUAAGAGGCGGCGGUCUUACUCUCCUGACUAUAGGAGGCGCAGGUCUUACUCUCGCUCAUGUUCUCCUUACAGCAGGUCACCAGUGAGAUACCGUGAGCGAUCCUACUCUCCUUAUAGAAGGGAUUACUCACCAGAUGACUCUUACUAUGGAAGGAGGCGACGCUAUCGCUCUGUCUCACGUAGUGUCUCGCCCAGGUACCGGAGGAGCUCAAGGAGGAGCUACUCACGCAGUGUCUCUCCAAGGCCUAGGAGGGUUUCUCGGAGAAGUUACUCACCUAGUGUAUCUCCUGAACCAAGGAGGAGAAGCUCAAGGAGGAGUUACUCUCGGAGUGCUUCUCCUAGAUACAGGGGCUCAAAGUCCCACAAGGGUUCAGCCCUGCGAAAAUACUCCAGGAGCUGCUCUAGGAGUCGAAGUCCGAGUGUGAGUGCAAGUUCUAGAUUUAUGUCAAGAUCUGCCAGUCCUGGAUCUACCUCAUCUUCAACAUGAAGUCUGUUACUAAGCACAUCUCCGGCUUUGUAGGGAUUGUGAUUUCAUCGUCCCAGUAUUUGAUCCUGUAGGGAUUGUGUAUCUCGACUCGCUGUUAUUAGACUGUUGCUAUUGAUAAAUGUAAUUGUUGUACUAGUUAUUUCCUCUGCAUGGUUGGUCAGGCGUUCUGUGCUUCAGUUAUUUCAUUGUUGUUUUUAGUCAUGCGUUUCUUUUCUCACUCACAAUCUGUUUCUGCAAUUAGAAAGUGAAUUGCCUAAAGUAGAAUAUGUUAGGAAACCAUUUGUUCAUGUGUUGAAUAGGCAGAAAACUAACUGUUCUAAGCCUAUCAAAGUUUACAUCCUGUUCGAUCUCAAUCUGACGGUCAUCAAGAUCUUUUAGACACCCCAAUAUGGAGCCACUGAUGCAGUGACUCGGUUAAAGUCCAGGGCAUACAACCCUAGUGCAAGUAUUAAAUCUUUUCUGGAUUUAAUACUUGCACUCGGUGUUUGGAGAAAGAAUGGAUGUUCUUUUGAAAAACUGCACAUCAGCUCUUCAAGCGAACAAUUACUUGAAGAAUGCACUGCUUCAGCUGUGGUAAUGUGAAUCAAGUGUUCGUGCUCUCUUUGGUUGCAUAUAUGGAUAAUAUUCUCUACAAAUAGUUGGUCAGAUGAAGAGUUCUCCUGUGUUUCUGACUUGUUCUAAGUUCUAAUUGGUGUGAAUUGAUGUAGGGCGUACCUUUUGUCAUCUUUGGAACUUUUGGGCAUUGGACUUAACUCGAUGGAAGCGAGGAGGUUGUAAUGUGAUUGCAGUCAUUGUUGGGUUGCCGUAGAUAGUUCGGUGGAAGACAUUAACCAAAAGAUGACUCAAAUUGGUAAUAACAUGAUAAACUUUCAGCCUAGAGCAACAGUGCAGAUCAUGUUCUUUGUAGUUUGGUUUGAGGAGAAGAUGAGAUGACUUGCUCACUGUAUAUCAAAUAAUAUCUGUGCUUGUUUGUUGGUAAUGGAAGAACGAAUCUUCAACAUGAUCCAGAAAAGAGAAAAGAAAACGAUUGUUAGCUUGCAAGUGAUCAAAUCAUUGGUUAUACUCUUCUCUUUCUUAGACGAAGAAUUCAGUAUAAUAACUUCAUUGUAAAAGCGCUUGUUUCACGAUCAUACUGUUCCAUUACAUGUAAUUCAAAUUUUCAUAUUUAUCUGCCUUCGUUCACAUCGUGUUGCUUCAUGUUAAGAGGUGUGAAUGUGCGCGCUGAUGUGCCCCGAAGUACAGUUCUAACCUGGUAAGAAUGUCUGUUUCUAGUCCCACAUCGAGGAAACUGAGAAGAAUAUCCACAGAAAAAACAUAUAAAAGUAGAGCUAGGGUCUCAUUGUAAAGUGUCUUUGCGCUUGGGGCAAUGACGCAGCUAAUGAGGUUCUAACCGAGGCGCGUCUAUUGCUGGUUGAAAACUAUUUCCAAACCCCCUCCUGGGUUUGCCUAGUGCCCUCGAGAAUUUCUGGAAGGGCUCCCUUCGGGGUAAAGCCCUACAAUUCUAGUCCUACUGUUUUUUUUGCUCAUAAAAAUAUACAAUCAGCCAUAAAUCCUGUGUGAUAGUUUUUUUAAUCCAGAGCACAAUCUAUGAGAACUGGCGACGGUGCUUGAAGUUCUUUGUGGUUGUUUUGGUUUCGUGAAAUUGGAUUCGAGGUUGUUGAGACACUGUUUGAAUCGAGGUUAUACUGCUAGACUACUGGGUAGUACAAUGGUGUUUUCAUUUGAUUUGUGUUUUCAUAAUUAUGGUAUAAUUGUGUUUUUAUUAGUAUCAAGCUGAAGAAUUUUCUGUGUAAUUUGUUCAAUUUGCCGCCCAAACGGGACACCAUCUCAGUCCUCUAGGCCCUUUCAAAUUCAAUCAUACUGAUUCAAAUCUGGAAAAUCAAAUCGAACCAGACCUAUAAGGCUCCAAAACGGAAGAAACUAACAAAAGGUUUGAGAGAUUGAGAGGACAUGAGCUUUUUCGGGUGGAAGAAUAUAUAUGAAUGUGAGUCUCUGACUGUUGAGGUUGAUGCACAUAGCCGCAUCUGCCCCGGGGGAUGGGGGGAUUUGACAAAGCCCGAGUCCUAAAAAUAUUAAUGGGAGUUGCGUUCCCGAUCAAGGUGUUAUAUGAAGCAAAGACCAAAUCAACACAAAUUUUUUAUCUUCAGUUCUAACAGAUUUCUUAUUAUACAGCAAUAUCAUCUAUGUAAUCCUUUAUAGAUUAUGUAGGUUUUAGAGAUUGCUGUAACUUUAAGGAAUUUGGCUUCUCUUUCCUCAGUAUCUCAAAAGUAUGUACACUGACAGUUAUAGGAAAUCUGUUUGAAGCAACAGUUUUCAUUUUCUCUUAAAAUAGAUAAAAAGCAAAAAUCAAGAUAUGAGGAACUUGUUGAAGUUGCUGAAGACAUGAGGAACUUGUUGAAGUUGCUGAAGACAGUGUCUUGAUUUCUCAUUCAAAUAAGCCAAACGAUUAAGUAGGAUUUUUUUGAAGUUAUGUUCAGUACGUGCGCUACAAGUUUUUGCUGAGGUACAGUGUGACAUGAUCGGAGGUUUCAGUACGAAUUACUGGUUUCUACCAUUGGUGUCACUGAAGCCUUCAUGUGGAGCAGUGCUGGUAUGCAUGUACAAAAGUUUGUAUUUCAUUGGAAAGAAGAAUUGCAAGCUCGAUCGGUUUGUGUCUCAUGAAUAUUGGUAAAUUCAUGCGUGGUUAUCAAUCAUGACAAGCAAAAGAGCACACUUGCGAAGUUUGUUUUUAUUUGUAUGGAUUUCCGACAUAACCAUCAAGUGUCUACAUGCAAUUUUUAUUCAAGAUUGUCUUGUUGUAUUGCUUCAUGUAGUAUAUGAUCUAUACCAGACCACGGAGAAUAUGCAGUAAUGAGGUAUGAUACAUAGUAGCCAAUUGAUUAUGCAAGCUAGUUCCUCCAAGAUGGAGAUAAAUUUGAGCACAUGUAGAUACUCGGGUGGUAGACAAUAGGAGUAGCAUUUGGGGAGUGAUGACUCCUCACCAGUAUCCCAUGUUUGUAAAACGUUUAUUGUCCCACAUCAGUCAUAUGAGACAAGCACAUAAAUAAAUAAAAGUAUAGAUACGGCGGUGUUGGAAUGUAGUACUCAUAUCUUUCUCGCCCUUUUGGCUAAGAUCAAGUGUAGUAUCUGUUCUUAUCAGUUUAAUAUCUGAUAUGUGGACCAAUGGUUCACACGAUAUUAAAUUAAUUUUUUAAAGAGAUGAGUCUAUCACAAUAGCUUGCUAGUGGGGCUUGCAUGUGUUAUCCUUGUGUUGCACUACAACAAGGUUUGGCACACCCUACCAAAUAAAGUUCAUGAUUGGCAAAAAAAUGCCACACAAAAAAGCUAGUGAUAUUUUGGUUCCCCUUGAAUGUGGCUUCUUGCCAACAUAGAGUUGUUGCCGUAGCACCAUAAAGACUCGAGCCGUUGUCUAGAACUAAACCGGCCUACACGAACAGAGUCCGCCUACCAACAACAAUUGCUUCAUUAUCAUCUAGCUACCAUCCCGUUAAGUAGUGUUUUUGUAGAAAAAUUCUAUCUACCAUCUCGUUAAGUUUUCAUCAUGGUGGGUAAGAUCAGAAGUUACAGGACUCGGCUUAACUAGGAGCUUAUACAAACAGGACUUGAUGCAUUAUAUGUUGGAUAUCUAAACUCUCAACAUACCACAUCGGAGAAUGAGUAAAACAAACAUAAGGGGGAGACAUAAGUAUGGAUGGUGGAGCGACAUUGAAACAUACUUACCUGGACAGGGUCAAUGGGCGAUCAUGAAGACUCAUAGCCUAGGCUAGUGACCUCCAUUGCACUUCGGAUGAGUGCUCGCUUAAGAUCUCCUCAAGCGGGAGAGUCUACGUCAUAAUUUGUUGCAGGGGGGUUUGUGUUCGCGCAGCCCCUACAUUCUAAGUUGUUGCAGGGGGGUUUGUGUUCGCGCAGCCCCUACAAUCUAAGUUUUAAUUUUGUAGCGCAGGGGAACCAAAAUAUCACUAGCUUUCUUAAUUAGGUCCCGGCUUAACUAGGAGUUUAUACAAACAGGACUUGAUGAGCUUAUUAUGAAUUAUAUGUUGGAUAUCUAACCGGUGGCGGAUUCAAGACGAAAAUCUCACAUGGGCUAAAUGCAACGCACAAAAAAUUUUAACCAACAGUACGAGAAAUUUUAGUUUAGAAUUACCGACCUUUCUUAUUUAGGUCCUGGCUUAACUAGGAGCUUAUACAAACAGGAGUUGAUGCGCUUAUUAUGAAUUAUAUGUUGGAUAUCUAAGUAUCUAACCUCUCAACAUACCGCAUUGGAGUUGAUGCGCUUAUUAUGAAUUAUAUGUUGGAUAUCUAAGUAUCUAACCUCUGAACAUACCACAUUGGAGAAUGAGUAGAACAGACAAGAGUGGGAGAGAAAAGUAUGGAUGGUGGUGCGACAUUGAAACAUACUUACCUGGACGGGGUCAAUGGGUGAUCAUGAAGACUCAUGGCCUAGGCUAGUGACCUCCAUUGCACUUUGGAGGGGUGCUCGCUUAAGAUCUCCCCAAGAGGGAGAGUCUAGCUAUGUCAUAAUUUGUUGCAAAGAGGUUUGCGUUCGCGCAGCCCCACAAUCGAAGUUUAAAUUUUUAUCCAAUUUUGAAUUUUUGAUGUGCUACAAAUUAUGUUUGUUUCAUAGCUUUGAUUAUUCUUAGUCACCGUUUUCCGAUCUAAUUUUUAUGUCUGUAUUGAUGUAUCUCUCUAAUGUUGAAAAGUGUGGGAAACAGCUUUUCCCAAAUCACAGGUGAUGAACAGUUCACGUGAAGGACGAGGACUUUUACGAUUCAAAAAUGGCUACUGUGAAACCUAUCGAGGGUGGUGCCUUUCUGUUCUUCAAUCUUCUUCCUGAUGUAAUAAUCGAUCCAAACAGUAUGCAUGAGACCAUGUCAUUGAGGGUGAGAAAUGAGCUGCAACCAAGUGGAUUCAUGUGAGAUCUUCAAUAGAGAAGGUUGCAGAUGCCUAUAGUAUUCCACGACGGCCGACUGGUCUAGGAACCAACUCCGGUGAUGGCUUAAUUAAGGCUCUUGCUGAGUUAGAUUGGACUAAUUCAUUACGUAGCCACUGUAGGAAGACUACAAAACGACUCGUACAUAGAUAGGAAUUUGCCUAUACGACGACGUGAUGAUGGCUUAUAGAACAGAGAUUGAAAUCCUUUAUUUUUAUUUUUUUCAAGAGUGAAAGAUUUGGGAAUAAAAUUCCUUGCAUUCCCGGCUCCAGUAACUUUGAGUUAUGACUUAUGAGAGAAUUUUCAAAUGGAAGUUCUGAAUUGUUGGUAUUGUUUCAUGUAAGUAGCAAUAUAGCAUACAGUCGAACUAAGAUUGUGAGUAAAUUAGAGACUGGCAGUACUUGUCAGAAACUUAAAACCACAUCGUUAUAGAUUGAAUGAUGUAUUUAGUCUCAUCAUCAUAAAACAAAGCAGCUGUGACCGUAACCAAAUACGGAGCCAUGCGUUGAGCACAUAGCGAACUAUUCUUUCGCCUUUUACUAAAGAAUACCGUGUGCACGGCGCUUUUAGUGGCAUAUGCCAAUUAUUGAAGGUGCAACUCUGUGGGUGUCCCUAGAAAUUUAGUUGACAAAUUUCACAUUUUACAUCCAUAUCCUUGUCUGUGAUAGUGUUCAAUUCUCAUGCUAUGGGAAUCGUUUGUUCAUGAUUUGUUUGUCUCAUUGCUUCAUGUAAUAUUUGAUAUUCUUCAGCUAUUUUUAAUUCUACAAUUGUUUAUUUGUUAGCAAGAAAGAAACAUUUUCCUCGUUUAUUCGUAGAAAUUGCAAAUCAUAUACAGUAUCGAAAAUUAUAGCCUGAGAUCUUCAAUACAGAGACACAAAUAUAUGUAGAUAACGUAAUCUCUACAGAGGAAAUUAUUCAUGAACACACACAUAUGAACCACAACACUAGUUGUUGUCGGUCUAAAUUGUUGAUACACGUAGUGUCGCUGUGUAAUGUACAAAGCUAGAUGAGCAGCCUUGCAAAUCGUAUGGGAGAUGGCAGAAGAAAGGGACAUGUACUUCGAGCUGAAGAUGAUGUAAAACGAUAGUAGUUGAUUAUCCCAUGCUAGGUCUUAAAUUUAUCUUACCUUACCAAUCAACAGUUUGUAGAGCGUUCAUAGUCCCACAUCGACCAUAUGAGAAAAACACAGAAAUAAAGAAUGUAUAAAAAAAACCAAAAGGUUUAAUUUAACUCUCAUACCUUUCUCGGCCUUUUGGCUAAGAUCAAGUGUAGUAUCUGUUCUUAUCAGUUUAAUAUCUGAUAUGUAGACCAAUGGUUCACACGAUAUUAAAUUAAUUUUUUAAAGGGGUGAGUCCAUCACAAUAGCUUGCUAUUGGGGCACACAAGUGUCAUCCUUAUGUUGCCCUACAACAAAGUUUGGCGCACCCUACCAAAUCAAGUUCAUGAUUGGCAAAAAAAUGCCACACAAUCAGCAGUUGAUGGAUGUUCUGCAUGCUGGUGAUUGUACUUUGUAAGUUGCGUAUUCGAGUUAUUAACACUGUUAUUAACACUAAGAGACAUAGAUAUAUUAGGGAAGCGAAAUCCACACACUCUCUUUCUAUUUUUAGUAACAUAAAUUUUGUCCUUAGUGACUUAAUUUUUGUUUCAUAUGAAAAUGAUUACUAAAAAUAGAAAAUGAGUGUGUGGAUUACAAUUUGGGGUGUGUGGAUUUCACAUCUCAUAUAUUAACAACUAUAGAAAAAAUCAUUCUUCAUGACAGAUCAUUUAUGGCAAACAAUGAGGAUUCGCAGCAGUACAAGGAUUAUAGCAAAAUACAUCAAUUAUCACUAUCUAGUGUUUGUAGAGCGUUUAUAGUCCCACAUCGACCAUAUGAGAAAAACAAAGAAAUAAAGAAUGUAUAAAAAAAAAAAAAGGGUUUAGCUUAACACUGAUACCUUUCUAGGCCUUUUGGCUAAGAUCAAGUGUAAUAUUUGUUCUUAUCAGUGUAGUAUCUGAUACGUGGACCAAUGGUUCACACGAUAUUAAAUUAAUUUUUUAAAUGUGUGAGUCUAUCACAAUAGCUUGAUAUUGGUAGGGCUGGAACUGGUACAGUUACUAGGAAUUUUUGUCCAAACCGCCUAUCGAGUCGACUCUCAGUGGUAAUGAAAUUUUUAUACCAGUAUUGGCUGACCAAGUUGGUAUCCCGAAAGUUUGGUAUAACGAACUUUCGGUAGGUAGCGGUACGGUGGGGCCUCUACCGAAGCUUAUUGAGUCUCCAAAUCUGCCACUUUUUAAAAUGAAAACACAGGCCUAGACCAAAAAAAAAUCCACAACAACUUUUUUUUUGAAUCAUUCAAACACUGCCGAAACCUGUACUGAUUCAAAAAUAAGCAACACAAUGAUUCAAAGUUCAAAAAUGUAUAAACCAAACAUGUUGUGUUUCACACUUAAAUUCCAAACCAAGUAACAAAAUUACAAAAUGCAAAUCCACAAACUCAGUAUAAUUGUAUAAGUGUCUCACAAGAAAUAAAGGCAAUAAGGACUGUAAGGCACAAACCAUUGAAACCAACCUACAUUCCUAGAAUCCUAAUCCAAAACAUCUGCAAUUCUACAUUUAGUGUCUUACAAGCCACAAACCAACUUAACAUUAGUACACAACUUCAAAUCAACAGUCUUAAACAGUCCUAAACGCUAAACAGUCAUGCACUCCUGUUGCUAAUUAACAUGCCAUACACCAAAAUCUCAACCAUAAAAUCCUAAAACCAAACAAAAUUUCAAUAAUCAAUAUGAGUAUAUGACAUUGAAUCAGACAAUCAGUAACUCACAAGUCACAACCACAAUCCAAAAUUCCAAAUAGACUCAAACCUUACAAUUUACAAUGAAAUAAAGACCAAAACCUAAUAGCAAUGCACCAAAAACCAAAACCUAAAACAAAUGCACAAGCAGUCAAGCACAAGUGCACAACUCACAAGUCACAACUCUAAAAUCAGUAAAGUCUAAAAUAGAAAUUAAAGUCUGAAACAGUUUCAACUGAAAUUGACAAAUAGUAAAGACUGAAAGAGUUUAAACUUUAAAGUUUUAACAAAUAAAUAACUAAAACAUCAUGACAAAUUCAUAAACCCUGGAUUCCAAACACACUGCUGGCCUGCUGCUACAUAUUGGUUUGCCUAGAGCUUCCAAUAAGCUCUAUUAGGGUUGCUGCUGCCUCCUGUCCUUGAUUGAAACCGUUUUCUGCAAAAUAAAUAAAAUUCACAUGGUUAAAAAAAUAAGGUCUGAUUUCUUAUAGCAAAUUCACACUGUUUUCUAAUAAUUACUUCUCUUAAUCUCCUCCAACUCAACGUAAAUGGCGAGCUCAUCUUCACUGGGAUCCUUAUAUAGGUUAGGUGGAUCAGAUUUUAACCAAUCACUUGUGCACACCAGGGCCUCUACCAUUUUUGGUGUCAAUAAUGCUCUAAAAGGAUCGACAACUCUUGAUCCUAAAAUAAAUGCAUUUUCAGAGGCCACUGUUGAGUAAGGAAUACCAAAUAUAUCUUUGGCCAACUUUGAUAGCACUGGAUAUGUUGCCUCAUUGCCUUUCCACCACUUUGCAAUUUCAAAACUCUUGGAGAAGAUGCUGACAUAUCUAUCGGAUAAGUAUUGAUCAACUUUAUUUCUUAUAUAUAAAGAUUGCUCAGCCACCCUCUCCCUUGCUAUCUCCCUGCUAACCUCAUCGAGGCCAUCCAAAUCAUCUGCUUCAAUUUCUAAACCAUUACUAGAAAUCUGCUCAGCCAUCUCAUUUGUGUCUUGACCUCUAUAUUCUUCAUACAUCUUCAUCAAUAUUUCUUCAAGUCACUUUCUAUUGAUUCAAUCACCACGGCACGUGCUUUAACUUUUCUCAUUGCCACUUUAGCCCACUGCAACUUAUAUCUUGGGUCUAGAACAUUAGCUAUCAUGGUCACCUUGUUCACAACCUCAAAACUGCCCCAAUACUUGACAAACUUCUCCUUCAUAGAAGCAGCAACCCUCUUCAAAACCUCAUCAGAAGAUUCAUAAGCCUUAUCAAUCUCAGUCUGCAAUGUAAUCAUCUCGACAAAUAAGAUGUUUGCAGUCACUGUUUUCCAUGCACUAAGCCUCAAAGUAGCUUCAUAAAAUUUCUUCAAAAAAAAGACAAGACUUCUGCAUUCCUCCAGUCAUCAUAACCCGGUAGUCCAACCUUGUCCUGAAAAUAACUUUUAAAUGCACCAUCUUUUUCUGCCAUCCUCCCAAACACAACUUCAUACUUCAGAGUAGCUUCCAGCAUAAGAAAAGUGCUAUUUCAUCUUGUUAUUACAUCUAAUCUAAUGGAACAUCGGCAUUAGCCCUGCAUUGCUCCAAAAAAGCAAACUCCCUAAACUUGUCAAGCCUCGCAGAUGAACUCCUCACAUACUUUGCAUAAUUCCAUAUCGUUUCAAUCCCAUUCUCCAACUCCUUCAAACCGUCCUUAGCUAUUAAGUUGAUAAUAUGGCAAGCACAUCGUAAAUGCAAAUAUUCCCCAUCAAACAUCAAAGUCUUGUAGUCCCUCAACCUUCUUUUCAUGUAUUGCACGGCCACAUCAUUAGUAGAUGCAUUGUCGAUAGUGAUGGUAAAGACUUUUGAGAUCUCACAUUGCCUCAAACACUGCUCAACAGCUAGCUCUGCCAAUAUCUUCACCUUUAUGACUGACAAUUGGACAAAAGUUUAUGAUUCUUUUGUGCAAUUUCCAGUCAACGUCCAUAAAAUGAGCUGUAAGAACCAUGUAGUUGAUGUUUUAUAUCGAUGUCCAAGUGUCCGUGGUGAUCGAUAUUCUUGUGGCUGCUGCCUUCAAGCCACUCAACAAAAGCGCUUUCUCAUGAUUGAACUUAUCCAACACACCCUUGGCAACCUGCUUUCUAUUUAAUAUCGUCCACUCCGGUUUUAAUUCAUAGACAAAUUCCCUAAAACCCUCCUUCUCCACAAACCUAAAGGGUAGUUCAUCCUUAAUUAUCAUCGCUAUGCACUUAUCAUCACACCUCUUUCGGUUAUACUUAUGAUAAGUUCUUGCUCCACUCACAUUAUCUACGGACAACUUGGACUGUUUGGGAUCAGAAUCAACAAGUUUGGGAUGCAACGGGUGUUCCACACAUCUCUUGUUUACAUGAGACCACAUUGAGGUUGUCCCAUUCCUCUUAACUACACACAACACUUCCUCACUACAAAUGUUAUAGGUGCACCACUCCGGAUCGAUUUCAUCUGAGUUUGGGAACUUACAUUUAGUAAAGAAAGAGGACUUUUGUUGGCUGGUUCUUUUCGUUUCUGCCCACAAGAAGAUUGAGGUUGUGAGCUUUGUGGCCGAGUUUGAGGUUGAGUUUGAGGUUGAGAUUGAGGUUGGGAUUGAGGUUCAGUAAAAGGUUAAGGGCGCUGAGGUUCAGGGGGAGGUCCUAAUGGGGAUGUGUGUAAGGAUGCAGUUCCCUCUGCAUUUGCGGUUGAUUGAAUAGAUGAAGAUGAGCUACUAGUCUGACUACUAUGAAUUUGGAACAUUGUUGUAUCCAUUAUGAACAAAUAAAAAAUAAAAAAACAAAGAACAAAAUUUCAAUUUCAAUUUCACAACUCACAAGAACAACAAUCAACAAAUAAAAACAAAAUUAAAGAAUAGAAAGUUAGAGACUCAGACCUUGUCUAGCUUGCACGCCAACUCCCCCAAGCCCUUGCCUACCACCUGCACCCCUACCAAUUACGCUGUUGCUCAUCAUAACCCUUUGGCGACCCAUUUGCUUCGAUUCAGAGAGUCGGAGAGAUGCGAUGAGGGAUUGAGAGAUUGAAAGGAAUGAGAGACUGAAUGGGAGAGACUAAAUCGAGUGAAUGAGAGACAGAGAGGAGAGAGAGUGACUGCCUAUUCAUAUUAGGUUUAGAUUUCAACGGUUAGGAUCCAUUCUUCUUGAAAUCAACGGCUAAGAUUAGAUGUUUUUUUUUUAAUAUUAUGAAAAACUCGGUACGGUACGGUACACCGUAUUUGUAUAAAACCCAAUACCGUUACUGUACCACGUACUACGUACGAUAUGGUACAACCAUCCCGAAAAGUUGGUAACCGACUAUGUCGGUAACCGAUUACGACGAUUCGGCUGGUUUGUCGGCUGGUACAGUUGGAUUGGGACAAAAUGUCAGCCCUAACUAUUGGGGCUUGCACGUGUUAUCCUUGUGUUGCACUACAACAAGGUUUGGCACACCCUACCAAAUAAAGUUCAUGAUUGACAAAAAAAAUGCCACACAAACAAGCUAGUGAUAUAUUGGUUCCCCUUGGAUGUGGCUUCAUGCCAACAUAGAGUUGUUGCCGUAGCACCAUAAAGACCCCAGGCGUCGUCUGGAACUAAACCGGCCUACACGAACAAAGUCCGCCUACCAACAACAAAUGCUUCAUUAUCAUCUAGCUACCAUCCCGUUAAGUGUUUUUGUAGGAGAAUUCUAGCUACCAUCUCGUUAAGUUUUCAUCAUGGUGGGUAAGAUCAGAAGUUACAGACCUUUCAUAGUCAGGACUCGGCUUAACUAGGAGCUUAUACAAACAGGACUUGAUGCAUUAUAUGUUGGAUAUCUAAACUCUCAACAUACCACAUCGGAGAAUGAGUAAAACAAACAUAAGUGGGAGACAUAAGUAUGGAUGGUGGAGCGACAUUGAAACAUACUUACCUGGACGGGGUCGAUGGGCGAUCAUGAAGACUCAUGGCCUAGGCUAGUGACCUCUAUUGCACUUUGGAGGGGUGCUCGCUUAAGAUCUCCCCAAGCGGGAGAGUCUUCGUCAUAAUUUGUUGCAGGGGGGUUUGCGUUCGCGCAGCCCCUACAAUCUAAGUUUCAAUUUUGUAGUGCAAUUUUCAUUUGAAUUAUUGCUCUUAUUCAGUUAUCUUCGAUAAUUCUUAAUUACUGUUUUACAAUUUUAUUACUACAAUCUAAGUUUCAAUUUUGUAGUGCAAUUUUCAUUUGAAUUAUUGCUCUUAUUCAGUUAUCUUCGAUAAUUCUUAAUUACUGUUUUACAAUUUUAUUAUGUUUGUGUUAAUUCUAAACCCCCUUUGUAGGGUAAUGCCCUACAAAUCUAGUACUGAAAUUCAGGGUAAUGCCCUACAAAUCUAGUAUUGAAAUUCUUUGUUUUAGUAUCUUUUUACUGAGCUCAGGAUAUUGGUUUAGGCCAUCCAGAUGUUACUUUGCUUCUUAUAAUGUAUAUAGAGAUGUCUUUGACUGGAAUGAUGAUGUAGUAAUUUAUGGAGCAAAAUCUGUCCAAAAGAAAUUAUUCUUCAACCACAACACUCGUUGCUUUAAGUCCUCAAUCCUCAUUGUUGAAACACUGCCGCUGUGAAUUUACAGAGCAGCCUUCAAAAUCUUAUGGGAGCUUGAGAGAUAGUUCAAAAGCCCGAGGGAUAUCUACUCAGCUUAAGAUUAACUCAUACUAGGCCUUUAAUUUGUUUUAUCGACGGUGAUAAUUAUUUGUGCACAUAAAUAUGUAUUCAUGAAGUGAUAGUACCUCACCAAUUAUCAGUAUAUGUUUGUAUAUAUAGCGUUGUAGUCCCCAAUCAUAUGAGAAAAACACAAAAAUACAUAAUGUAUAAACAAGGAGGGGUUAAGACUUGACACUCUUUGGCCUUUUAGCUAAGAUCAAGUGUCAGUUUAAUAUCUAAUUUGUAGACUAAUGAUUCAGACGAUGUUAAAUUAAUUUUGUUUUGCUAUUAGGGUUCACACGUGUUAUCAUUGCCUUACACUACAUCAAAGUUUGACGCACCCUACCAAAUCAAGUCCAGCAUUGUCAGAGAAUGCAACACGAACAUGUAAGUGAUAUAUUGGAUCCCCGUGAUCUAGUAGCUGGCCGCGCAUGGAUCGCUUGAAUGAUGCGCUUCCUGAAUAUAGAAAUUGCUGAACUUAGUUGAUUAUAAAUGGAGGCUUAUAUUGACCAUGAAUUUCAUGAACUUAAUUAGUCGAGUAUAAAGGCGCUUAGAGUGCUCUUUGGGUCUAGCAAAUAAGUUCUGAUUGAUUUGUAUUGGCAUAAAAGUUUUUUGUGCAAUUCCAUAGUAUAUGUAUAGACGAUAUAGUUUACUAAUAUUAAUCAGAAGUGCAUGUCAUAUAAUUUUCUUGUUUCUUAACAUUUAAACUUGCAUCAGACAUCAAAUCAGUAGUGAGAUACUUAUCUAGAAAAAGAGUAGUACAACAUAGUCAGCUUGAAUAGCAACACGAACCAGGAGCUAGGUAAUAACUCAACUAUAUUUUGCAUAACGAGUAAUGUCAUCCUUUGUUGCUAUAUGAUGUUCGUAGAGCGUUUAUAGAGUGUUCUGAUUAUCCGGUUUCUAGAGCGUUUAUAGUCCCACAUCGACCAUGUGAGAAAAACACAAAAAUAAAGAAUGUAUAAAAAAUACAAGGGGUUUAGCUUAACACUCAUACCUUUCUCGGCCUUUUGGCUAAGAUCAAGUGUAGUAUCUGUUCUUAUCAGUUUAAUAUCUGAUAUGUGGACCAAUGGUUCACACGAUAUUAAAUUAAUUUUUUAAAAGGGUGAGUCCAUCACAAUAGCUUGCUAUUGGGGCUUACAUGUGUCAUUCUUGUGUUGCACUACAACAAGGUUUGGCACACCCUACCAAAUUAAGUUAAAAAUUGGGCUAGAGCUUUGCCAUACUCGUGUCAUAUUCACUUACAAGAUGUUGUGAUCCUUGAAAGCAACAACAAGGUUUGGCGCACCUUACCAAAUUAAGUUCAAAUUAGGGCUAGAGGUUUGCCAUACUUGGUGUCAUAUUCAUUUACUUGAUGUUGUAUGAGGGUACUGAAGUGCAACAUAAUUGUUUUUUUUUUUUUUUUUUUUUCCAAUUACUGAUAGCACAAACUCUUUGUACCCUUUAUCUUAACAAACUAAGGGGGACGGGGAAUGGUCACACAUUGCUAAACCUAUUUUACUUUGGGAUUUAGGGUGGUCCAAUGUUGACAGAGAUCAUCUCGGAUAUGCCUAGUGCUUCUUCCUUUAUUUUCUUUAAAGAAGAAAAAUGGACUAAUUUCAGUUUACCCCUAUCAACUUUAGGUCGAUUAUCAUGUUAGUCCUGUUUCUUUCAAUUUCCUCAAAUUUUAAUUUUCAUCAACCGUGUCCAAACAUUCGUUUUUCAUCUAAUUCUCCUAUCAUGUAAUGAUUUACAUUAAGAAAACCAAAUUUGAAGUCAUUGAGCCCACAGAAAAGGAGCAAAAUAGACAAAUUGCAUUCAAUCCCACCAAAAUCAGUAAGGUUAGGGGGUUGUGAUGAGUACGGAAAUGUGUAUUGAUAUGGAAGAAAAAUAGUUAGAAAAGGUUUUUUUUUUUUUUUGUUUUUUUUUUCAAAAUUUGACUUUCUUCUUGAUGCCACAGCAUCACUUUAUGGAGAAAUCGGAUGGAGAAAGGAGGUUUGGACACAGCUGAUGAAAAUUGAGAGUUGAGGGGUGUUUUGAUAAAAUUGAAAGAAAAAGGACUAACGUGAUGAUCACAUCAUCAUUUUACGGAAAAAUUGGAUGGAGAACGGAGGUUUGGACACAGUUGAUGAAAAUUGAGAGUUGAAGGGUGUUUUUGAUAAAAUUGAAAGAAGAAUGACUAACAUGAUGAUCGACCUAAAGUUGAUAAGGGUAAAUUGAAAUUUGUCUAAAAAAAUCAAACAAUCCAGUCCAAUCCAGUAGGACUGUAGGAGAGUUCAUAACUUGUUGUUUGAAAAAGGUGGCUUGCAUAGUAUAUCUUAGAUUUCACUCAACUGUUGGAACAUGUGAUUGAGCUUUAUUCGAUUCUACCAUCCCAUUAAAUUAUCAUCUUGGCGGGUGUAGUAAAGUUUAGAAGUGCAGACCUUUCUUAUUUAGGAUUCGGCUUAACUAAGAACUUAUUCAAACAGGACUUGAUGCGCUUAUUAUGAAUUAUAUGUUGGAUAUCUAAACUCUCAACAUACCACAUUGGAGAAUGAGUAGAACAGACAAGAGUGAGAGAGAUAAGUAUGGAUGGUGGUGCAACAUUGAAACAUACUUACCUGGACGGGGUCAAUGGGUGAUCAUGAAGACUCAUGGCCUAGGCUAGUGACCUCCAUUGCACUUUGGAGGUGUGCUCGCUUAAGAUCUCCUCAAGAGAGAGAGUCUACGUCAUAGUUUGUUGCAGGGGGGUUUGCGUUUGCGCAGCCCUUAAAAUUUAAGUUUAAAUUUCUAUCCAAUUUUGAAUUAACCCCUAAAAUUUAAGUUUAAAUUUCUAUCCAAUUUUGAAUUUUUUGUAUUACAAACGUUUGUUUCAUAGCUGAUUAUUCUUAGUCACUGUUUUACGAUCUAAUUAUUUUUAUGUCUGUAUUGAUGUAUCUCUCUAAUGUUGAAAAGUGUGCGGAAACAGCUUUUCCCAAAUCACUGGUGGUGAAAACAGUUCAAUCCAAGGACGAGGUCUUUUAUGAUUCGGCUAAAAAUGGCUACUGUGAAACCUAUCAAGGGUGAUGCCUUUCUGUUCUUCAAUCUUCUUCCUGAUGCAAAUAAUCGAUCCAAACAGUAUGCAUGGGAGCUGCCCUGUCAUUGAGGGUGAGAAAUGAGCUGCAACCAAGUGGAUUCAUGUGAGAUCCUUCAAUAAUUCAAUAGAGAAGGUUGCAGAUGCCUAUAGUAUUCCACGACGGCCGACUGGUCUAGGAACCAACUCCGGUGAUGGCUUAAGGCUCUUGCUGAGUUAGAUUGGACUAAUUCAAUACGUAGCCACUGUAGGAAGACUACAAAACGACUCGUACAUAGAUAGGAAUUUGCCUAUACUACGAUGUGAUGAUGGCUUAGAGAACAGUGAUCAAAAUCCUUUAUUUUUUUAAGGGUGAAAGAUUUGGGGAUUUUAUUCCUUGCAUUCCCGGCUCCAGUAACUUUGAGUUAUGACUUCUGAGAGAAAUUUCAAAUGGAAGUUCUGUAUUGUUGGUAUUGUUUCAUGUAAGUAGCAAUGUAGCAUAAAGUCGAACUAAGAUUGUGAGUAGAUUAGAGACUAGCAGUACUUGUCAGAAAGUUAGAAACACAUCGUUAUAGAUUGCAUGAUGUAUUUAGUCUCAUCAUCAUAAUACAAAGCAGCUGUGACAAUAACCAAAUACGGAGCCAUGCGUUGAGCACAUAGCGAACUAUUCUUUUGCCUUUUACUAAAGAAUACCGUGUGCACAGCGCUUUUAGUGGCAUAUGCCAAUUUUUGAAGGGUGCAUCUCUGUGGGUGUCCCUAGAAAUUUAGUUGACAAAUUUCACUUUUUACAUCCAUAUCCUUGUCUGUUAUAGUGUUCAACUAGAUGAUGCCUGCGCGUUAUAGUGUUUAUGUCCGAUGCCAUACAAAUGUACAAAAUUUGGUCACCCUAUUGGAUUUGAUAUUUCUUGACAGCAUCAGCGCUUCACCUGUUACCAAAGAGUGAACAACUUGUCAGGUUACUUUUAUGUUACCAAAGAGUUAUUGUUCAGUCCACUCUGGCUGUCUUUUUUUUAAAAUCUUACAAAUGACUGCAGGAAAAAUUUAUAUCUCAUUGGUGCAAGAAAACAUUCUGCAAUUAAAGUAGCUCUCUGUAAUGCAGCAAAGUAUGUUGCGACUCAGUUGCAUAAAGAACGGUGCACAUUUUGUACAGGAGAUUAAUAUCUGAAAAAACAGAGGCAAAAUUGAAUUCUAGGCAUUUCAAUACAUUGUAUAAAUUUAAUUGACACAUUUCUAGAUGAUAUCCGUGCAGUGUUGUGGUAUGACGGAUAUUAACUUACUGUAACUGCUUUCGUAUUACUAAAUAAUUGGCACUGACAAUAAAAAUAGAUAGUACCAAAGCAACACACUAACAUUCUAACAUAAAGCAAGAACAGAGAUAAAUGAUAAAACAUACAUAAAGUUAAAACAAAUACAAAUAUCAAAUAUGAAAAUUUGUUGCACUAUCAGUAUGGUUGUUCCGAAAAUAACAAAUGGAAUGAACUGAAUCCAUAAAAUAGUUAGGCAUAUUGAUUUGAAUAAACUGACUUCUGUGAUUGUUAGGCAAUGCAAUACAAUGUAAAUACAUACUCAUGUUGAUGUAGUAUGAAUGUGAUAGGAUCACCUUCUGAAAUCUUUUAACUUGUAAAUCAAAGGACAAAUAUUUUAUGCCCUUCAGGUAUAUCACAUAACUAAUGCAGAGAUGUGUUCUGAAUUAGCUUCGGCCACCUUUGUAACACAAUAACAUUGAUAUCCUGGAUAGCCGAAAUUGUAAACCUAGACACUCAUCCCUAAUUUUAAAGCCUAAUCCCUAAGCUUGUGUUCCAUUUUCUUAAAUGAUCGAUUUGUAACUUUAUUCCCUACAUUCCUGUGAAACUAUUCUAUCAUUCUUGAGUUCCACUUUCUUAAAUUGUCUACUAAAACCUUUUCAUAAUACACUCCAUCAUCAACAAUUGUUUGCUCCUUUCUCAACUGAAUUUAAUGACAUACAUACUUGGUAACUAUUCCAAACACGAUAAUUGUGUGCCAAUUUUUCAUAUAAGAUGCGCUACACAACAACCUUUUUAAGAAUAAGACUAUUAAAUAGUAAGACAUGCACCAUAUAACCGACAAUUUUGGUCAUAUAAUGUUUUCACAAUAGACAAAAAAUGACACAUUUGUCAAGCAUGUUUUCACAAUAAAAAAAGAGAAUUCCUGAGAAACAAACAUGAAACCCAUCAUUUGACCCUCUAUAGUUGGAUUAGUUUCUGCUUUUCAAAUCACAUUUUUAUCACUCAUGAGCAUAUGUUUUUAUCCACGAUAUUGUAAUUUUAUUACACACAUUAUCAAUAACACAUACUUCUCGUCCCUACUGAUAUUAUGUCUCUACUGAUAUUAUAACAGGUUCUUUACUAAUUGCCAAGAUUCAAUUGUAUUGACCCCUCCUGCUACCAAACUUAUCCAUCCCAGAAAUAGAAUAUGAAUUGAACAACACUGACACUUGUUUUCACUAUUUCUCUUCUUUCUGAACAACUCAUUCAAAAAAUGAGUUUCAUUGAUAACAGUUCUUGCCCUGAAAUAUAAUGACCUCUUAUAACAAAACAAUUUCAUAGUAGAUCCCAUCUAUGUCCCAGUAUGUUCCAAUCAUACUAAAGAAAUUUAGAUCCUGUCUCACUUUUUAAAAAGAAAUUCUAUCAUCUCUUCAACAUCACAUGUUCAUUAGUCAUUGCCUAAACCCAUUGAUCAUAAAAAGAUAGUCUUUGUUCUCCCCAUAUUCAUAUCCAUAACAUAUGAAAAUAGAACUCUUUUUACCAAUAUUUUUCAAUGCAUCCCAAAUAGUCUCAUUAUUCUACAUUGUAACCAAAUGUCCAAAUAUUCUUUUAUCCAUUUUGCUCCGAUCUCAGCACACUUUACUCACAGUCAGAAAUUAUUAACUGAAGUAAUCGGUCCGCACUUUCUUUAAAUAUUUAAAUAUAUAAACAACUAAACAUCGUAGGAUCAUUUUUAGUUUCCUUAGGUCGAGAUCAUGACAGAAGGAAUCAAAGUUUGUUCCCAAUGUUUUUCAAAGCAUCUUAAAUAAUCCAUUGCUUUCAAAUUGAAAUCAAAUAUGGCAUUUUUUUAUUUCUAACUUGUAUCAAUUUUGCUUCAAUGUUACACGGCUCUCAUUCAUUCACAAAACAUAUCAACCUACUCUUGUAUAAAUAUGCAAGUCUCAUGUACAGAUUUAUGACAUAAGCAACAAAAUUGAUCCUAUCCUCAGACAGUUGGAUUCUAAUUGCAACCAAAUACCCCAUUUUUAUUCCUUUCCCUAAUUCAAUGUGACAUACCUCUCAC
rnacentral:lncRNA from 1 species